AAAUUGUUCAAAAAUAAUCCUCAUUGUUUUGAAUUCAAUCGUUCCGAAAAACCCUAAUAUCGAAAAAGAGAUUAGAUCUAAAACAAAUGACGAGGGUGGCUCUGAUACCACUGUAAGAAUAUCAUGUGUACGCAACGGAAGAAAAUAACACAAUUAAAAUAUUCUAAAACCAAAGAUCACCUCGUGUUUCGUUUUAAAUCAUUAAUAAUUGAUCUAAUUGAUCUAAUUAAUAGGAUCUAGUUUUUUUUUUUUUACCUUGCGCGGGUCGAGAUCACCGGAAGUCGACAAUCGUUGGUAAAACUUGUUCAUCCUCGCUUAGCCGCGCACGCGCCCGGCCUCUACUCGCGUCCACACGAAAUCACGCCAUUGAUCGAAUUAGACGACCGCUUCGAUCCGUGAUCCGAUCACGAAUUAACUCUUGCGUCGAUUUGAGGAAGAUGAAUCAAUCUUCUAAAUGUGCUACCAACCUUUUGGAGAUCGAAAACGAUGGAUUAAUUGUGGAAAACUUAAGAAAGAGAGAGAGGAUUGACGGCUAGGGUUUUCUAUUUCUCUUCUAUUAAUUAAUUUUAAUAUGCCAUAUGACAUAUAUUUAUAAUGAGAAAACCUUAAGCCUAAUCCUAAUCCUAAUCGAAAUCCUAAUCCGAUUGGAUUAUCCAUUAACCCACAAGUUAGUUAUAAUAUUAACCAAAUCCGAAUCAUAAUUCUAAUUCGAUUCGUGUGUAACAUUUACAAAUAAGUUCUCAUAUUAUUUACUAACAAUUAGUAAAUACACCAUGCAACUUUUACACACAAAUACCUCUAAUUUACAACAAUUGAAAAUUAGUCCUUUUACUAAUAAAUUAGUAAACUUUAGUAUUUAACUAUAUUAUAAUUGCAAUUAACCUAUCUGAUAAACUUCUUUUAUUGUCUCCUUAACAUCGAUCAUGUGUGAUUUCUUAUAUGUGUGACCUAAUAGGUUUAAUUCUGUUUGGUAAUGAAAUAUGAUGCAAUCCCUAUCUAUAUCAUUAUCGAAACUUCUUUUGAUGGCUCAAACUCUUUUGAUUUCACCCUUAUAGAAUAAUUAAUUAUUUAUAAUUAUUUUUAUUGGCUCCCACAAUCCACUAGUGACGUCUAGCAGUAUGUAGUGGCAAUCUAGUCAGAAGUGAAUAUCGGACUGAAUCUCUAGGUGCAGUUACCGUACAAUACAAUCCUUCUAUCGUAUAGUUCCAACUGAGUGGAGAUCAUAGAAUAUUCGUCAAACCCCAUCACCCAUCAUAUGACAAAUUUGAUAGGACAAAAACACUUAUGAUUACUCUUGAAAACCUCUUUUCAUACACCAUAUUAUCCCGGCCGAGGAUUUUUGAGCUUUGCCUUACAAAUAGUAUAGAACUAAUUAUCUCUCUACCGAGAGCGAUAGAUCUCUAUAAACACACACCCAUUCCUGAUAUGAAUCGACUGCAGCCAACAUAUACUAUUAAGACCCAUGGCUAGGAUCAGAGUUUGUUCCAUAGUCAAACUACAGUAGCCUCACAUUGAAUGGCCGUGGAGUCGCAGGUCUAAGGAUCAUUUGUACCACUGCAACAUCGAACUAGUUACUGACGAAUGAGUAGGCAUCCAUAUAACUGUUCGUAGUUGGUCAUGCUCAGUACCCUUGUUCUCCAACAACCACCUGCAUGUUCGCUCCAGUGUCCCCACACUGAUGACUCGAGAUUUGUCAUCCCAAAAGAGAAGCGACACACAUAUCAAUGUUAUUGGAUCAAUCAUCGUCUCCAUGAUGAUCCAAUGAUUGAGAGCAUUUAAGAAUUAAUCACCGACAAUAUGUAUCUCAAAUUCUCAACUCUUGAGAAUACAUAUUAUCAUCUUAUUAACUCAAAGGACGAUUCAUGGACACAUUAAACAUGAAUGGAAUAAAAAGGCCCAAUUAUAUAAAUAAUAAAGAUUAAGCACAAAUAUAUGUCCCAUAGAAAAUAAAAUGCGUCAGUCUGAUAGGCUUCUAAGGCAUACAACUAACAAUGCUGAGAUAUGGGUGACCUUUGGGAAGUUGGGGCGUCACAGUUGGUAUCAGAGCAGUUCACCAGCCAAAAGUGUGAGGUAAGUUUUGACUAAGCCAAGGUCGGAAUGACAGACUAAGCCAAGGUGUCACGCCCCGAGUCCACACCGGAAGCCCACGAGGACGUCAACAGACCCACCGAAUGGUCAGGGUUUCCCUUGUCUAAACGAAUUCCAAGGGGUUACAUUUGAGAAGUCUCCACAACACAAGAAUCAAGAUGAAAUACAGAAUAAACAAACGACAUGUAUCAGAGCACUAUCUACAAGCUAAACUGCUGUACAUCAUGUACUACAUCAAAUAAUUCUCAAUCCCAAAAAAGUACAAGGAAAAAGCCCUGGCCCUCGCAGUGCAUGCAUGUAGUAUAGAGUAGCACACUAUCUAGUGGUCCAGUAAUGUCUAGGCAUGCUGGUAGGAGAUGCUAUCUACUGCGCGAUACCCCUCGCCUCGAUCAGCCGACUGUAUACGUACCCUAAAAAGUAAACCACAAAAGGGUGUGAGAACUACUGAAUAGUAGUUCCCAGUUGGUACGGUCGACGAUAACCACGGCCUUCCCACUAGGUCUACUGCAGGCGAGAAUAGUGAAAGAACAGUAAAGAAUGCGAUAAAUGUAUAACUAAAGAUAACUGCAAGUACAGUAAAGUCUGCUAUAAAUAGAUAUCUGACUCUGAUCAGAACAGGGAAUGUAUCUACUAAUCACUUUACUGAAAGGAAUAACUGAAUAUAAUAGAAACAGAUCCAUAUACCUACUGAACUCUCAUGCCCUUGUAUAUGUCGUAAAAGUCAGAAAAGAGCUGGUUAGUGCAUGCACCAAAGCUACUGCUACUAAACAAAUGUUGUACUAAUACCCAAUCGCAACGGCCGACUCAUACGUCCGGUCAAACCUACACCCGCCUAUUGCCCGGAAUCGCACUCCCACAGGUGCACCGCUGACAGCUAGGCUCUGCCCCCAGCCCGAACACCACUCCCACAGGUAGGUCGUCUUCCCAAAGGCACACAUAUCUUUGCUAUAACUAGCCAACGUCCAGAGCGGCACUCGAAAGGGAGCGACCCCUACCGAGUCUAAUAGCAAGUAUCUCAGUCAAACCACUAUGGCUCUCCAGUCUAUGGUCUAUAUCAUGGUUAACAAUAUCACGAUACCCAAUACACUGUCCUCAGCAUAGUCAUGGAGAAUACAAGAAGUCGACUGUCACAAGAGAAUGUGCACACAGAAUAAACUACACUCUCUAUGUCCACAUAUUUGCACACUACCACCGUGCUACCCGCGGCCUCUAUCACAAAGUUCAUGGCAUGUACGAGAAAAAUAAAUAAGAGAUGACUCACAUAGAUGGUUCAAAUGAACAACGCACAUAGAUACCUCACCUAACUUAUGUUUUGUAUAGCAUUUAGGGACAAUAGACAACUCAUCACUAUCCACAAGAUGUCGACUAGCCUCCCACGACCUAAGUCAGAAUAUCUAAUAUGAGAUAUGGCUAAUAAUAAGUAUGUCCCGUCUAGUAAAUCAUGGGAUGGUCAAGAAUUACUAGAAAUGACCCAAUGAUCUCAACUCAAUCAUAUAGGUCCAAAAAUCUAUCCACACGUGUCUCACGAAUCCUCGGCCACAAAGUAACCAAAAGAGCGGUCGUCAAAGGUCUCGUGAAGCCUAGACCUCUAUCAUGUAAUUCACGGCAUGCUCAAUGCAAGGAAAAAGGAAAUAACUCGUAUUCAUGCUUCAAGUACGAUAUUGUAACACACUGGGCCCUUGCAAAUGGCGAGGUUCGAGUGAUUGGUCGUGUUCUGAGCUUUUCCAGACUUGCUGGUAGGUCGUUGACUGUGUUCCGACCUAUGACACGUGUCCCGAGGAGUGUGGUACGAAGCCUUGCACCAAAACCCAAAAAUUUGGAUUUUGGUCAGCUCUCGGAUUGGCUGUCUGGCGGGCUUGUACCGGUACAAGGCUGUGCUUGUACCGGUACAGAGCCGCGAGCUUGCAAACCCGAGCCUCGGGUUUGCAUUUUCGCAGGUCUUGUACCGGUACAAGGAUGGUCUUGUACCGGUACAAUGUUGAUGGUUGUACCGGUACAGCCACCGGGCCUGUACCGGUACAGUGCUGCAGAACAGCGCAACCCGAGCCACGGGUUUGGAUUUCGUGGACCUUGUACCGGUACAAGGGACCGUGUACCGGUACAAGGCGGCAGAUUUCGCACAGUUUGGACUGCAGGGGUGUUUUUGAGUUUGUAUCUCUUUUAUUUAUUCCCCCACGCCCCUUAGCUGUUUCUUUGAGCUUGAAACAGCAGGAGACAAGGUAAGGGAACCCUCUCCACCCUUCCACUUGGAUUUGAUCCUCUUUUUGCAUGGUUUUUGAUGGAUCCUUCUUCUCCUUUUUCCUUUUGGUGCUAUUCCACUAUGGUUGAAGCCAAGAGCUUGGAUUUGGAGCUAAGUGGAAGAGAGAUCUUGGAACCUAGAGCAUUUGGAGCUUGAUUUGAAGCUUCUAGAGAGGUUAGCAACAUGAUUUGAGCCUUUGAUCCAUGUUUUUGCUAAAUUUUGAGUUGGAACCCUAGAUUGGAUACUUAGGGUUUAUUUUGGGGAUUUUGAUUCUAGGGCUUUAGAGACUAGAUUGGUGGGUUUAGAACCUUCCUUGGGCUUAGAUUGGAUGAACCCUAGCUCUCUUUUGGAGCUUAGGAGAAGAUUUCUAUUCUUGAGGUGAGUUUGACCCUUUUUGCUCCUAGGUUAAAGAUUGAGCUUAUUGCUCUUCGUAUCGAUUGGAUGACACCCUUUUUGAUGUUCCUAGGGUGCUAGAAAGCUUGUGGAAACCUCCGUUGGAGCAAACGAAAAGCUUCGUUGUCGUUGGUGGGUUUGACCUAGCCUAUAAUAUGAGAAAUCCUCAUAUUUGGUGAUAAGUGUUUCGUAUACUAUUAAUUCAUGCAUGAUCAUGCUAAAUACAUUUAUUAUGAUUUUUAGAAUGCUCAAAAUGCCCAUGUUAUAUGUAAUGAAAUUUCCGGACCUCUAUGUAGUAGCGAGUUGCUGGACAGAUCUAGUGAUGCAUUUGGCAUUCUAUAUGAGACUUGGUUUCAUGCUUCUAUAGUGUAAAUGGGCUUUAAUUCGUGCAUUUAAACUUAGGUUUAUUUGAGACAUGAUGAAUGACAAGUUGCCAUUUAUUGACAUCAAACUUAGAUGCAUGUGAAUUAGAGAGCUAAUGUCAUCAAGCGGCAUUGAGCUCAGGACAAGUGUGAACCUAGUGGAUAGGGCCAUUAAGGGAUUUGGAAAACUUGUGGAACAUCAAAUUGCCUAAGUGUCAUUAAGGGGCACUAGGCGUAGCAAAUGUUGAAAUUUCACAUUGUGACUUAAACUAGAUCUUCGGGAUGCUAGUGACUAUACCAUGUUAGAGACAUGAGAAUUGGAUACUUGAGACUUGGACUAUGCUUGUUUGCCAUUUGUGCUCAUUCGCACAUGCUUGUGAGGGUCGCUCCCUACAAGCCGGCACUCCGGAGUUAGCCUACGCGACUUUUGUUCGUCCGUGCGGUAUUGAGAAGCCUACGGGGUCGAGUGGGACAGACACAUUCCAAGAGUAGGGAUGUUGGGCUACCACAGGCACUUAGGCGGCACAAGCUGGACUACCUUGGGUAGGUCCUCAAGUUGGAAAUGGAAAUCGACACGGUGUUGAAUAUGAACAAUCACUACUAGAUAGGAUUAGUAGUUGGAUUACUUGGACACGCUUAUGAUAUAGCAUUGGUACAUUUAGUAUACUUGUCGGUUUCAUUAUUGCAUCGUAGUAUACUCGGUUGUUUGGAUAGUUUUACCCUUAUGCAUGGACAUAUUGCAACGUGAGGUUUACUUGUUAUUAUGUUGAGACAUAUUAGUAUGCAUCGGAUAUAUUACCUUAUGAUAGCGUAGAUGUACAUCACCAUGACAUCAUGCUUAUUGGAGACUUAGUAGUAUAGCAUUUCAUUCAUGCUUUCUUUCAGCAGUUUUCGUGUUCACUAUUUAUUACAUAUUACUUUAUGUUGUUACUUACCCUUUUCUUUUGGGGCCUAGUGGUGCAUUGAGCUGAGGUCAGUAAUUGCCCACUGGGAACUAUAAAUUAUAGUUCUCACGCCCUCUUUUUCUCGAUGUUUUUCAGAGCCUUCCACUCAGGGUGAGGCCAGGGAUCGCGGGAAGGGAGUUGCUUCGAGCUAGCUUCCUUCGAGGACGAGUUGAUAGGUGGUCUACCUCUCGAUUUUUGUUUUAUUUUGCGAGAGGUGGAGCGUUUUUGCCAGUGUACUAGAGACCACCAUUUUUGUACAUAUGAGACAGACAUUGUACUUCUUAUGACUCUUUUUAUUGACUAGCUUUACUUCUUUACCUUGGUGUAGAUGUUAGAACUAUAUUCGCUCUGAUAUCAUUAGUUGCUUGUUAUUUCACUUCUUCUAGUUGUCUACUACUUGCUUUUACUUCCGCUUUUAUUCUAGACGCCUUAUAUGUGUAGACAUAUGGCGGGUCUGGGCACGCUACCGGGAGGGCCUCCGCCGGUCCCGGGGCGUGACAGAUAUACAUUGUCAAAAUGGACAUACUUACACUUCAUGUUUAAAUUCAUGACUCCUAUGCAUACUCAUGUUUAUACUCCAGUAUUAUGUCUCAUAACCAUGUGUCGAAUGUCUCAAUAUUAUGCUCGAUAUUGUAGAAUCCAUGUACGGAUGGUCAACUACAAUAUACAAUACCAAAUAGACAUAGAAGAAAAUUCGCCGUUUUCAGCGACCGGAACCUACCUUAGUGUGAUACAGCAGCUAAAGCAAGAAAUCCGCCACUCACAGGAUUUUCCUCAGCUCACGGUCGCUCGGAAACACUAAACAAGUCAAAUCAUUUGGAAUUACAAUCAAAAGGCUAAUUUUCUAACCAAGCUCAAUUCAUGCAAAUUGAACGUCAAUUGCCUUAAAUUGUGACUAACGGGACAUGUAUGGUACUUAAAUUCGCGCUCUAGGACAUCCUGCAACCGUCAAUUUGACAUUAGAAUUGUGAAUUUUGCUAAUUGCUUCAAUCAUUCCCGUAAUUCCUUUCCUUCCAUCUUUUCUCCUUUUCUCUCUUCUUUUCUCUUUUUUUCCUUCUCUUUUCCUUUUCUUUCUCUCUUUUCUUCCUCUUUUCCUCUCUCUUCUUCUUUUCUCUUUUUUUUUAAUAGUCUUGCUACCCUGCAGCACCUGCUGCUGCUGCCUGGCAGAAGCAGGCUGCUGCUGUGCUAGCAACGUGUGCUACUGCUGGUGCUGCGCCAGCAGCAGCCAGCUGCUGCAGGAGCUGCAGCAACAACCUACUGCUGCUGCUACAAAAAUUCUUGCAGUAGCAGUGGCACAAGACAGGGAGAGAGGGGGAAGAAAGGGAAGGAAAGAAAGGAGAAAAUGAGGGAAAGAGAAAGGAAGGAAAAGAAAAGGAAAGGAAAGGAAAAGGAGAAGAAAUUUUUUCCUUUCCCUCCAAGUUUUUUUUUCUUCUUCUUCUCUUUCUCUUUUACUUUCUCUUUUCUUUUCUCUUGCACAAGCUUAGAGAGAGAGAAGGAAAAGGAUAAGAAGAAAGAAGAGAAAAAUCUUCUUCUUCUUCUUCUUAGUGGAAUUCCAUUAAGAUGCUCUAUUUGCAUCUUAAUCCAAUUAAGUUUUCUAAUUGCACUUUAGUCCUCAUGAACUAGUAGCCUCAUGCAUCCGUUUUUGCAUCAAUUUCGUGCCAAAAUGGAUUCACCUCAAGCUCCGCAAAUAUAUGCUGCGUGCCAACCCAAACUACAAUCUUGUCCAAUUGGCAAAUUCGGUAUUCUACAUAGGGUCAGUGAAUAACAGGCUAAGUCAGGGUUAGAAUGACAAGGCUAGCGAAAUGAGUCUCACAUCGCCUGGUGAUCUUAGGCUCUGUGUGUGUUUAGGGUUGACGAGGAUGUCAAAGCCUAAACAGGCGGAGUCUGUGACACCUCAGUAGUCCCACAUCAGAUGGAAAUGGGAUUGUCAUUGGAUAUAUAAGAGGACUCUACCCUAGUAAUAAUAACUGGGCAUAAGCAUUUUGGGCCGGUGGUUUUGGCCCAACGAGUUAUUAUUGCUAGCAAGUCGGGUCUUUACACACUGCAUUUAUAUGUGAUUACUAAUAUUUAGUGAUAACAAAGUUUGUCACAGAAUAUUACAUUUAUGACGAUAAUAUUCAUCGCCGAUAUAUUGCCACUAAUAUUUAGUGACAAUAAAAUUUGUCACAAAAUAUUGCUUUUAUGAUGUAUACUCAAGGAUUAUGAGAAUUGUCACCAUUAUUUGUCACUGCAUUGUCGGUCAUAAAAUAUUGCUCUAAUGACAAAAAUAUCAUAAUGUGCUACAAAAUUCUAUUUUAAUAAUAAUAUAAACUACAACAAUAUUUUAUACAGUUCAAAACAAUCAACUUGUAUUUAUGAUAAAAUCAAAUUGACGAGAUUUUUAAGUCUUAAUAACAAAAAGGCAUUAAUAUUCUCAAAUUCGUCAUACAAAAUGCUCCCAAUAUCUCAAAUUUUUUAAGUACAUGACAAAUAGUUUUCAAAUUCAAAUUACAAAUGAUUCAUUCUGAAAUAACUACAUUUGAUUUUAUUGUCCACAUUCAAAAUAAAGGAUUGUCGAAUGCUAACACCAUGUAGAAAUUGCACCACUCAUCCUCACCUGCAAUAAAUUAAAAAUAAAUAUACUUAGACAAAAUUGAAAUAUGAAAGAAAGUAAAAUUAAAAAAUUGAUGUUAAGCAUAAGUAUGAUCCAAGUGGAGAUCCGUUCUUUUUCUCAACGUAUGCCCUUUCCUCAUCCUCUAAUAAUUUCUAACUUAAUUUAACAAAAUAAAGUUAGAAACUAAAACUAAAGGAUCUAGCAAUUCUGACAAAAAGACAUUUUAUAGAGUUAAAAAAAGAGUUUAUCUUAUAUGUGACUAUCGAUUGAACUGUAGGCGAAGUAAUUCCAUCAUACCUAUCAAUUGACCAGUAUAAUAAUAAUAAUAAUAAUAAUACCAAUAGGAGCAACCAUUGUAUUACCCUGCACAUUUCCUAGUUCAAAUAAAUGGAAAAACAAACUCAACAUAAUGAAAACAAACUUCCAAGAACAUGAAUAAAAUUGAUUAAAAAGAUCAAUUAAAUAAGCAUGAAAACCAAAAAUGUUAUGGUUAUACUCCUAAUUCUCUUGUAAUCUUUAUCAAAAAAUAGUUAUAAUCACAAGAUCCAUAUUCCUAGAGAAGGAGAUCACCUGAAGCAUAAAAGCUCAGGAUUUUGUUGGCAUGAUACUCGGAGACAUCAACCAAAUGGGCAAUAAGAAUGCAGUUUAAAAUAUCAGAUAACUGAAUUACAUAAGCUGCAUGCUGUGAUUACAUGCUAAAACUUGAUAUGAAUUGUGAGCAGUAUGAAGAGAGCUAUUUUCUACAACUAGUAUUUUAUAUUUCAUCUAAUUUACCAUCUACAUGAGAGUCGACUUCUACAAACAAGAGUGACAAGCAUAGAAGUCAGCAAGUACAAACAGGCUGGUUCCAUAGCAAAAUAAUAUCCAACAUAAAUAAGGGAGUUUCUAAUUCUGAGAGCAUGCGUCUAUCAUACAAUAGCAUGGUUCUAUAUUUGAAGGACUGUAAUAACAUGAAAAUAGGUAUACAAGUUGCUCAAAACCUAACUAGUUGCUAUGGGAUUAAAUUAUACGAGUAACAAAAAGGCUUACCAAAGAUUUGAAAUUCUCAAACCAUCACAAUAGUCAAUGCAAAUACAAAUCAUUACAUUCCAUAAUAUCCUAAAUUAUUGUCCUAAUCUUCAUUGAACAAAAGUUGUACCUCUAAUUAUUAGAACAAAAUCAUAAAAAUUUUAGGAUGAUUAGUUUCUAAUAUCCGCCUUUUCUCUUCCAAUAAGGCAGGUGUCUCGAGAGGGGUUGACCUCAAAUGUAUCCUAGCAUCAGACUUUCAAAAUUUUAUAGUAGUUCCUUGCUCCGAUAACUAUUUCCAUGUCAUGAUCAACAAGUUUCGAAAUGAUUAACAAAUUUUGAAAAAGAAUAUACAAAUAAUUUAAGCUUAAAUAAAAAAGAGAGAUGAAAACUUACUAUAUUGUGCUAGACUGUGUUUCAUUGUCAGCUCGGUGAGAAGAUAUAGUACCAUCCAAAUGUUUCAAAAUAUUAGUCAUUAUUAUUUCCAAUCUCGUUGUUUGUUAGUUAUUUCUUUCAUCCUUGCUUCCUAUUUUGCCUCUACCCCUGCUUCAAUUUUGUGCUCGCAUCGCUUGAAUUUCUUGUGCUCGACGUAAUUACCUCUUACAUAUCCUAGCACCUCCACUUACAGAGAGGAGCUCGGGAUUGAGGAGAUGAGCUUGUUGGAGGAGCAAACUUCAACACUAGCACUUCAUGACAUGAGUUGGAGUUUAAUUUGAGGUUAGUAUCCUUCUUAUUUUCCCUAUUUAUGAGAUUUGCAUGAGAUUUGCAAGAGAUUUAUGAGGUUAGUAUCCUUCUUGUUUUAGGGUUUUUCUUUUGAAAGCUUUUUAGAUGGAAUUGAUGAGUGUUGAACACUCUUGUAGGUUGAAUUUGAAGCCCCAUUGGGUUGAUUUGAGCCUUAGACAAGUUUUACUUGGUCAAAGAUAAUUUUCACCUAUUUUUUUUUGAAUUUUGGUGAAUUUCGUGGUGAGCUUUUUAGAAGCUCGUAACCCUUUGAGAAUUUUUCUUAGGGUGCUAAAAGUCUUGGAGACAACUUCGUUGGAGAAACGAACAAGGUUUCGGAUGCUAUCCAGUGGGUUUGACCUUAUCGAAGUGGGUGAAUUCUCUCUGUCUUCUAUAUUGCUAUAAGACAUAAAUUGAUGCAUAUUCAUGCAAGAUAUGACAUGGUAGAAUUUUUGAAAACAUGAUACGUACACUCAUGUUAUGUCACGCCCCGAGACUGCCAAUUUGGUCGGUUCGGGCACGUACACAGACGUCGAACGAACAGAACUUCCUCUGUUCGAACAGGAUUACUUUGUUCGAACAGAACUUCUUCUGUUCACCCAAGGCUCCACAACAACCAAACUUGUGUAAGGAAAUGCCUAGAAAAAUUCCAUUAUACAUGGCUUGCACGAGGGCAAGCAUCUAAAGCAAGUGAAAGUAAAACUAUCUAUUACAUCCACACAUUGUAUCUUGAUUAUUUUGAAUCAAAUACAAAGUUUGCAAUUUUAUUUACAUACAUUCUUCCAAUACAUACAAUAAUCAUCUCUCAAAUGAAUUUUUACACUUUCCUUCAUCAACUACAAUAGAUGAAAUAUACAAGGUAUAUCUAUACUCAAUGGAGGUCCGCUAUCUAAUGCGCAAUAUCCAUGCUGCAAUCCUUGACCGCCCCACUCAUGUUAGGAUCUGCAUGGUUAGUGGGGUGAGAACUGCUGAAAGUUUCUAGUGGGUUCGGCUGCCGACCUCGCCGACUCACCCACUAGGUCUACUUCAUAGGAAAAGGAAAUAGAUAAGUAACCAAACUAAUGCUACUACAAUGCCUGUACAAACUGGAAGGGGAUAAUAUACUCAUGAUGCAUGCAUGCUCUUUUACCUUUACCCAAUCCACUUGUUUAACCCUUUAGUUAAACCUCAACUCACCAAACUAAAUCUCUUUUAUCGGGGAGAAUACCACAACCCGACUGGACCGUCUGCUGGGGAGAAUUCCACUACCAACCCAGUUGAUGUCACUCCUGUAACAUAGCGAUUCCCCGUAAGCCGUACAGAGUUCCGUCGAAAUGUGCGGAACGCGAAAAGGAAUGAGUUACUAUAGGCUAGAAGUGCAUUGGAGCCUAUAUGUAAAGUAUAAAGGGACCCGAGAGAGUGAAACUGCAAUUCUGGAGAAGUCCCAGAAAUUUUACUCUCGGGGACUGGUCCCUUGGGUGAGAGACCGGUUCCCGAAUGUUGAUCAGCCGAACGAGGUGAAAAAUCGGCUAAGUCCUGGAAAUUGAGUUCUCGGGAACCGGUCCGCGGGGGAGAGACCGGUCCCGAGAGACCGGUUGCAUUGGGAGGAGACCGGUCCCUUUCUGCGCAGAUUGCAGGAUAGCUCUCGGGGACCGGUCUCUCCUUUGAGAGACCGGUCCCCGAGCCCGAAAUUGCCCAGUAAGGGCUGUUUGCAAAAAUGAAAAGGUGAGGGGCUUAUGUGCAAAAGUGACAUGGGUUGGAUGUAUAGAGGUGAGAGAUGGGGUUGGCUCCCAUUUCUCUCACACCCUAACCCCAAAACCUUUCCCUCUCUCUAUCUAAAAACCUCUCCUUUCCCUCUCCCUUUCUCUAUAGGGCUUGGACCAAGAGGGCUUUUGGGAGGAGCAAGCUUGGAGAAGAAGCUCUCCAAGGUGUAGAGCAAGCUAGAGCAAGGCUUUGAAAGAAAGCUUUAGACUCCAAAGGUGAGUUCUUGUGAUUUUAAAUUAGGUUUUGGGUUUUUGCUUUUAGUUGCUGCAUCUAGGGGCUUCUAUGGUAUUUUCCCCCAUGAUUAUCCAUGUUAGAGACCUAGUUGAGGAAGAUAAUGUUGCAUAAGGACCUAACUUUAGGAUUUUUGGAUUUUGAGGUUCAAUCUUGGGAUUGAUCUCUUUUUAACCUAAUUGGUAGGUCAACAAACACAUCGGUGCGCUCGGUUCGGCGAUACGACGAGCGUGUGCGAAGAUAUUGGAAAAAGAAGCCGAGUCAGUAUAGAUUGCCGCAGCUUGCGGCGAAAGUAUCUAAAAAUUGUGAAAACAGAACCACGGCAUCCUAGUAUCACAUAAAGGUAGGGGGUGCUAUCCGAAAACACCGAGUCUCUUUCUAUGUCUAUGUCACUAUUUUUGAGCAUGUUUGUAUUAUUGCAUUCUUGCAUGUAGGGUAAGGACUGGUAUAUGUUGAUUGCAUCAAUUAUCUGCUUAAGAUUAUUGUGAACGAUAUAAGCACACGUGAACAAGAAAACGAAUAACCCUAUAUGCAUGUGAAUGUGAGAAAAGACUAUGACCAUAGUAAAUAACGGUGACAUUGACUAUAGUGACUCAAUUGGCAUUGAAAUGAGUAUAAUUAAACAAAGUUUAACCCAAGUGGCAUUAUGUGUAUUAUGGCAUCAGGACCAUUGUGGCUUAGUAAAGUGACAUACAUGAUUAGGUAAAGACCUAUCAUCGGUAUUGUGGCAUCAUGGUUAAAGGAAAUGAUUAAACAAGGUUUAGCUUUUCUGGCAUUGAGACUGGUUGGCCAUACCUCCUCAAAUUGAGGAUAGGAUCAUACUCACAUGUAUUGGUUCCGGCUUGUGGGAGGUCGCUCCUCACAAGCAGUGUACUCCGGAGUGAAAAAGCACCACGGGUGAAGGUGCCCGGCGAAGAUCCUUCGGGUGGUUGUGCCUUGUGCCUCCCCCGUUAGAUGGGAUAUGUGGACUGUGAGUCGUGGUAAACCAGAAGCACCCCGGGUUGAUUGGGUAAAGGCCAAAGGAAAGUGAAAAGGACAUGCAUGCAUAAUCAUCAUGUAUUGAAUAUGAAUAUCUAUCUAUGAUUUGCUUUCUUGCAGGCAUUGUAUUAGAAGUGCAUUAGUUGGUUCGUUAUUCUUCUUUAUUGAAAUACAUAUGCCUGAAUUAGACCAAGUGGGCGAAUCGGCGUGGUCGGCGGCCGAACCCACUGGGAACUUCGUUCUAGUUCUCAUUACCACUAACCCUGCAGAUCCGUGCGCGAGCGGGGCAGCGGAGGAUCGAGGCAAGGGUGUUGCGCCGUAGAUAGCGGCCUCAGAGUUUAUAGGCAUACCCUAUGCUUUGGCGUACUCAACUGUAGGUGUUGAACUGUAUAUGAUGAAAAGCAAGAAAUGUAAAUUAUAUUUUGGCUAACGUAAGAAUGAUGUAAGCAAUGUAUUUUGGUUAAAGGCAAAUGUGAGAUAAAUGUAUUAGACGACUUGUGUUUGAUUCAAAUGAAAUCAAAUGACUUGUAUAUUGAAUGCUUAGAUAGUUUCGAUGCUUUCACUUGUGGUUGUUGUUUGCCCUCGUGCAAACCUUGUAUAUCUUGCAAUUCUCUUAGUGAUUUGCUUGUAAUAUACUUGUUAUUAGAGCCUUGGGCGGACAGGGGAGGUACUGUCCGUUCGGCGUCUGUCAUGUGCUCGAAUCCGACCAAAUUGGCGGAGCUCGGGGCAUGACAACUCUGGAGCUCACCGCCCAAGGUGGAGCGACCUACCUCGAGCAUUCAGACUAUCUGUGAGUACAAUCCAAUCCUCACUUGGAGGAUACCAAGCCACAACCUUGACAAGCUCUUUAUUCUAAGUUUAGCAUUUCCAAUUCUAAAUGCUAACCAAUCCAUCUCAUUAUAAUGCCACAAUGUCACAAGUUCCUUUUCCUUGUCUACCAUUCACACUACUUAGUGUUACUCAAGCCAUCAAGUCACAAUGUCACUUGUUCGCUAGUGUCAUAGUUCAAUGUUUCAUACAUCUAUAGGGUUUCUAUGUUCAUCAUCUAUAAUUCACAUGUUCUUUGCUUCCAAAGCAUACAAGAAUGCACAAGUACCACAUAUGUCCCAUUUACCCUAUAAUGCAUGAAUCCACUAUACACAUACAAUAUGCUCAAAAAGCAACUAGACAUAACGGGUCAUUUGAAGACUUCGGAUAUCACCACCCACCUCGUAGGGAUGCCGAGAUGCGAGAACCCAAGUCCCGCGAUUUUUGGAAGCCUAUCUCUCUCAACCCACGACAAACGAAGCCGAAAUGAGGUUUUUCCUCAAUAACUCGAUGUUGACUCGUCGUGUCACGCCCCGAGCUCCGCCUAUUUGGUUGGAUUCGGGCCACGUCAACAGAUGCCGAACGGACAGCAUCUCCCUUGUCCGCCCAAGGCUCCAACAACAAGUAUAAUUAAGCAAUCAAACAACGAGAUUUGCAAUUAUACAAGGCUUGCACGAGGGCAAGCAACAACAAGAAUGAAAGCUCUAAGCUACUGCAUAUAACCACAUACAUAAUAUUUGAUUACAUUUUAACCAAAUAUAAGUAAACUAAAACUAUUACAUUCAUUUUCCUUUCAUCCAUAAUUUCUUUACAUUAUAAUCAUCCAACUCAAAAUACAUGAUUAUUUACAACUUUUACAUUUCUUGAUCAACAAAAUAAAAGUUGAUACAUGAACCAAAAAGGGAAUGGCUAUAAUGUAAAUGCUCCAAUGGCCACUAGUUAUGGCGCAAGACUCUUGCCUUGAUCCUCCGCCGUCCUGCUCGCGCUCGGAUAUGUAGGGUUAGUGGUGUGAGAACUUCAACGAAGUUUCCAGUGGGUUCGGCCACCGACCUCGCCGAUUUACCCACUAGGUCUAUUUAGGCAUAAGUAUUUCAAAGAAAAAAAAAUAGUAACCAUACUAAUACUAAUACUAUGCCUGCAAGAAAACUGUCAAGAAGUAGAUAUAUAAUCAUAUGAUGAUAAAUAUGCAUGCAUGCUUUAUCCACAAUUACCUUGGCUUUUACCCAAUUGCACCGGUUAACCUUGUUAACCCCAAAAACUCACAACCUGAAAUUCCUUUUGUUCGAGGAGGCUCCAAGCACUUCCACUCGAGGGACCGUCUUCGGGGCCACUAUCCCUGUGGUGACCAACUCCGGAGCGCACCGCUUGAGGAGGAGCUACCACCCUCAAGCUAAGACUUAUCAUGAGCAUCGAUUCAAUUCCCAAUUUGGGAAUGUAAAGCCACUAGCCACAAUGCCACUAUCAUAACAGGUUUCUCCCUUGUUAUUAAUACCACUUUCUAGGUUACUCUUGCCAUAAUGCCACUGUUAGUUAAACCUUGUUUAAUGAUUCAUUUCUCAAUGCUAAUCUUGUCUCUAUUGUCAAUGUCACAUUUGUUUACUAUUAUCAUAGUCCAAGUCUCACAUUCACAGAAGUAUAGGGUUCCAACAAACAUGUCCUCUAUGGUUCAUAUGAAUCACUAUGUUCAUCUAUGUUAGAAGCAUAUAAUUAAAGCUCAACCAACAUUCACAUGUAAAUUACCCUAUUAUGCAUGAAUGACUAUUGACAUAUAUGCUCAAUAAAAGGUGUAUAGACAUAGAAGGGAAUCCAACGAUUCCAGAGUGCACCCCCCACCUCGAAUAGUAGCAAAGGAGUUAGGAUUCGAUUCUCGUGAUUUUUAGACUCCUAUUCCGCGUGCUGCGGCGAUCUGUAUCAAAAUAGAGCCAAAUUAGGCUUUUUACUAAAUAUCUUUACAUAGACUCUUCGUUUCCCCGAACCAAGUCCACCAACGCGUCGGAAAUACCUCUAAUUAGAUUUCCACAAGGUCAAUUUACCUCGAAAACAACUUAGGGCAAAAGCCCCAAAUUUGGUGCCCUAACAAUGUCAUAUAGCUAAGUUUUUUGGAUUGAUCUUUGAGCUAAGCAAAAACAAGCUUAGAACUGCCCAAGAAGUUCUCUAAUACCAUUUCUAACUCAUUUGGACCAUCCCUAGGACAUUUAACAUGAACCCUAGAAGUUCACCAUGAGAGCACUUGAAGAAACCAUGAAUUUUCAUGGGUUCAAGGCCUCAAGAGAGUUUCUAGCUUUGCAAGAAGACCAAAACUCUAAGACUUAGGAUAAAAAUCCAAACCCUAGAACCAUUCUUGCAUAAAAACUCACCUUAGCCUAAGAGCACUAUCACGCCCCGCGACCGCCAAUUUGGUCGGUUCGGGCACGUCAACAGAUGCCGAACGGACAGCACCUCCCCUGUCCGCCCAAGGCUCCAACAAUACAUGUAUAACAAUAGCAAUUCAAACAUAAUGAAUGCAAGUAUACACGGCUUACACGAGGGCAAGCAACAACCAAACAUAAGUGAGAGCAAUCUAACUAUUACAUUUAUACAUUGUAUAUUGAUCACUUUCAAUCAAAUACAAAGCUUAUACAAUUUCUUUACAUUCAUUCAUCUCAAUUUACAAUUUCAUCUCUCAAAGGAUCUUAAUACAUUUUCACCUUUCACAUAAUUUUAUUACAUUUCCAUUUUACAUUUUACAUCAUCGACAUAAUAGAUGAAACAUAUACAAGGGUGCCUCUAUACAUAAAGGUAGCACACUACCUAGAGCACGAUAACCACGCCACGAGCCCCGAUCGCCCCGCUCGCGCUAGAACCUGCAUGGUUAGUGGGAUGAGAACUAGAAGAAGUUCCCAGUGGGUUCGGCCACCGACUGCGCCGAUUCGCCCACUAGGUCUAUUUCAGGUAUAUGUAAUUCAAUAAAGAAGGAUAACAAAUCAACUAAUGCACUUCUAAUACAAUGUCUGCAAAAAAGCAAAUCACAGAUAGAUAUUCAUAUUCAAAUACAUGAUGAUUAUGCAUGCAUGUCCUUUUCACUUUCCUAUGGUCAACUCGGGGUGCUCCUGGUUUACCCCAACACACAGUCCACACACUUUCCUUUGGCCUUUACCCAAUCAACCCGGGGUGCUCCUGAUUUACCCCAACUCACAGUCCACAUAUCCAUCUAACGGGGGAGGCACAAGGCACUACCACCCGAAGGAUUUUCGCCGGGCACGUCCACCCGUGGUGUUUUCAUCACUCCGAAGCACACCGCCUGUGGAGGAGCGACCUCCCACAAGCCGGAACCAAUACAUAUGAGUAUGAUCCCCUCCUCAAUUUGAGGAGGUAUAGCCAAACCUGUCUCAAUGCCACAAUGCCGAUGAAAGGUCUUUACCUAUUCAUGCAUAUACUACCAUUUCCCAAUAUCACAAUGGCCCUGAUGCCACAAUAAGCUAAAUCUUGUUUAGUCAUUUUCUUUAACCAUGAUGCCACACUACCGAUGAUAGGUCUUUACCUAAUCAUGUAUGUCACUUUACUAAGCCACAAUGGUCACAAUGCAUAGAAUGGUCUUUACAACUUUAACCAUGAUGCCACAAUACUGAUGAUAGGUCUUUACCUAAUCAUGUAUGUCACUUUACUAAGCCACAAUGUCCACUAAUGGGAUAGUCAAUAUUUCACAAUGCUUUAAGGUUUUACCUUAUCUAGCACAAUCUGUUCUCGGUGCCAAUCAUGUCACUAGAGUCAAUGUCACCUUUAUUUACUAUCGAUCAAGUCUUUUCUUACUUUUACAUACAUAUAGGGUUGUUCAUUUUCUCGUUCUCAUGGCUGUACAACAUGUUUGCGAUGUUCAUAAGCAGAUAAUUGAUACAAUCAAUAUUUAUCUCAUUAUCCUACAUGCAUGAGUACAACAUUAUCAACAUGCUCAAAGAAGUGACAUAGACAUAGAAAGAGAUCCGGUGUUUUCGGACAGCACCCCCCACCUUGUAGGAAUGCUGAGAAGCCCCGAUUCCAUUUUCACGAUUUUUAGACACCUACGCCGCGAGCUGCGGCCAUCUGUACCAAUUUAGCUUGUUUCUUCAAUAUCUUUGUAUCGGCUCGACGAAUCGACGAACCGUCGCUUCCCUCGCGUUCGUUGACCUGCCAAUUAGGUUAACAAAAGAUCAAACUCAAGUUAGAUCUCAACUUUACAAAAUCCCAUUUUCUAACCCCUAUGGUUUAUCAUCUUUCCCAAAUUGGUCCCUAGACCAUAGAAAUCCAUGAAUGACGUCACCAUGACAUCUCCUAGAAGCUAGAUCUAGAAGGAAACACCAAACCCUAACAUCAAAACCAUAAAACCCUCAAAACCUAGGGUACUUAUCUCAAAUCCAAGCUUUUUUUCCAAACUAGGUUGCCAUGAGAGGGUUGCUUCUCCACCAAGCCAUCUUUUUUCCAUCAAAACUCCACCAUUGGAGCACCUCCAAGAGAGAGGGAGAGAGAUCUAGAGAGGGAAAGAGGGUUUCAUUUGUGUUGGAGAGGAGAGAAAUGAGGGCUAAACCUCAUUACACUCACCCUAUACACUCACAACACAAUUGCACAUAACCCCCCACACCCCUCAAUGUUUAACACAAUGAUCCAGCCCAAACUGGGCAUUUUCGGGUGCUGGGACCGGUCCCAGGCAAUGAGAGACCGGUCCCCGAAAGGCCAGAAAAUCAGCAUUCCAGACUUAGCCAAAUUUUCAGCAUUUUCAGCCUUCGGGUCUGUUUUUUCGCUCGUUUUCGCUCGUUUGACCUCCGAUUCGUUUCAAAUCGAACUGAGACUCUCCAAACAUGUUUUUGAACAUGUUUUCAUCAUCUUUUCAUCCAUGCCCUUGCUAAAUUUAGUCCAUGGUCCAACAUAGACUUUCGGGUUCCGUUUUUGCGCCCUACGCACAUUGAAGCAACGGAAUGCUUCCGAACUUCACCGUAACCAUUCUAAUGGCUUUCCAAGCUAACAUACACCAUAACUUCAUAAUUAUAGAAGUUCAGUAUGUUACAAGCACUCCAAGGUCCACCUUGUAGGAGAGCUCAAACCCUUCAAAUCCUCCAAAAUCCACCUUCAAAUCCUCCUUUUAGCUCAUUAGCCUUUGAAGAGAGAUUCCCAGAGAGAGAGAGGGAGGAAAUAGGUUGGAGAUGGUGUUCACAGCUGCUGUGAACCAGUGGGUAUAUUGGGGUAUUUUAUAGAUUGCAACAAUAGCAACCAAGCCCCCCAAACACUCUAUUUUGCAUCAGACCAAUUCUUUGCUGCCAGACCAAAGUGUACCGGUACAGGCCUUUCUGUCUCCGGUAACACGAUCGCACAGAGGCAAACCUGAGAGCAGCUUCUCUCGGCCAGCAGUUUAGUACCGGUACAACAUUGAUUGAUGUUGUACCGGUACACUUUGCCCAGACUGUAGUUUUUUUGCAUCUUUUCGUUUCUACUUUGCUCCAAUCAAUGCAAAAACCUUUCUAAAUCUUUUAAACUCAUUUUUAAUCCUUCCAACCUUGUUGGAAUGCCAAUUGGAACUUGUCCAACUAUCUCUUUCGCAUACUUUAAUCAAUUUGGCUAAAGUUCGAUAAUCUCUACCGAGGUUUCGAUAUAUUACACAUCGGAACUUCGAUCCGAGCCUUCCAACGCAUCAGUUUUACCUUCAAUUAGGAUUACAUGAGAUUAAUUCUAAGCUAGAUCUCCAAUCCUACAAACUCCCAUUUUCAUGCUUAGGUUCAACAUAACCUUCUCAUACUCAAAAUUCUUAGGAAAUUAUGGAGUAAUCCAAACUUCCAUAACCUAAGAAUCUCAAAACUAAGCAAUUUAGGGAAUUUACAUCAAACCCUAACCAAGAGGAGCAAGAGAACUCACCUUGACUCCAUCGCUACCCAAGCUCAUCUUGUUCUUGAGCUUCAUCAACACUAAAACCACCAACUUCCCUUCAAUCCAGCCUCAAUAUCCUCAAAACCCUUUUGUUGGAGAGAUCCUAGAGAGAGAAAGAGAAGGAAAUGAGAAGGAGAAGAGAACAAUGCUUCUCUUGCAUGAGGAGUGUACCGAUGUUGGGGUUGGAAUUAUAUAGGCCCGCAACAAUUACCUUUAAACCCCUCCACAAUACUCUUCUCAUUUCGUACAUUUCAGUCCUUAACAAACUAGGUACCGGUACCCACUAUCUAGUACCGGUACCAGCUCCUACAUCCCGAGCUGCGUAACCACUGGUUUGCGGCACAGUACCAGUAUUCAACUCCAGUACCAGUACCUGACCAUUUCGGUACCGGUACCAGCCUCAGGUACCGGUACACAGCUUACCCUUGUACGAAUCCCAAGAGCUGUCCAACAUCUCUUCAACUGGGUACCGAUACCGCAUUGGCCUAGUACCGGUACUCAAUGUCCCAUGUGCAUUUCCGGCAACUACCGGGUUUCGGACUCCGUUUUCGCACCCAAUUUGUGCCAAAAACACUCAAACAUCUCCGAAACACCUUCUAACCAUCCAAACACCUUCAAGGUUAUUCGGGUACCUCGUUUAUCAUUCACAUACCUCACUUUGAUCAAUUCGAUCAAAGUUUGCAUUGUGAUUCGGGAAUUCGGUAUGUUACAUGUUACAUAUAGAAGUUUUCAUACUCUAUAUAGUAGAGGCUUAUAAUGUGGAUUGGUACGUACACUAAAUAGAAUGUAAUUGUAUUUCCUCUUAUGCAACAUUAGAAUGCGUGAUAGAGAUGAGUAAUUGAAUGUCCUAUGGGACCUUACAUGGUUAGUGGAAUUAUCGAGUUCAACUUGCAUGAUAAGUAAUAUACUUGUUUUAGACAAGGGCAAAAAUGACCUAUUGCAUAGUAGAGAUAAAUAGUGAAGUUAAGCAUGUGCACUUAACUUAGUUGAACAACUAAUUGGGCAUUAUGACAUUGUAUUCGACCUCUAGGUCGCUAGUUGCAUUUCAUGUUUUAGACAUGACGAAAGAGAUUUCUAUGCUUUUGGGCGAAUAAAAAGGGCAAUUGCAUAUAAUUGCUUAGUUGAAUGAAAGUUACUUGCAUGAUGACCAUCAUACUCCAUGAAGUGGAGGUUUGUGUAGCAAGGCAUGUGCAUGACCUGAAUCAUGAUCUAGUUGACAUCCUCGUAGCUCAUUGAAUAUGAUAUUGGUAAGUUGUUCACUUUACACUAUAGUGGAAACAGUAUACUUAUGAAACUGUUAUAGUGUAAACAGUAUACUUAUGAAACCCUGUUGGUUCUUGAAUAAAAUAGAGAACCAUCCUUGAUAGGAUAAAUGAGAUGUAAACCAGUACAUGCUUUAGGCAUGUUAUGUAUCGGUAGAGACAUACCACCAAGUUGAUUGAGAAUGAAACUUGACAUAUAUGAUAUAGUACCCGACCUUUGAGUCGAUGAUUGUGAUUCCAUGUUUUAGACAUGAUGAUUGAGAUAUGUGGUCUUUAGACUUGAUGCUUAUGAUCACGCUUGCUUCCUUCUGUGCUCAUUCACAUAAGCUUGUGAGGGUCGCUCCCUACAAGCUGGUACUCCAGAGUUAGCCUUUGCGACGACAGAUCGCCCAUGCGGGAUUGGGCACCGAAAUGGAUUGCUGUGGGGGAGGCUCAUUCCUAGAGGGAAAAUAUUGACUACCACGGGGCUAUUAGGCACGGCACAAGCCGGAAAGUUAUCAUGUGUAAGUCCCUCGUUAAUUGGGUAAAGAUUAAGUAAACUUGACAUAGUACAUCAUAAUUAGUUGAUGCAUAUAUAGUAGAUGGGCAUACUACUGGAUUAUUACUUUGUGACGCUACUUGAUACAUUCGUAGUAGUUGGGCAUUGAUGUUAAUCAUUGUUGCAUUGACAACCUUAGUAGUAGUAAAUCUAUAUACACAUGUUGAUUAGUAUAGAAGUAUAGCUAUAUGAUGAAAAUGAAAGUGAAUUACCUGUGCAUGUAAACUUGCAUGUGAAUUUGCAUAUAGACUUGCAUAUACAAGUACUUGUGCAUGUGACAGUAGAAAACUACAUACAUGUUAAAUGACAUUAUCAUGUAGAGGCAUGACUAUAAUUGAAUGUUCAAUUUAUUGUUAACUGUAUGCUUAAUGUAGGUUAUGGAAACCCUAGGAUUUAUCUAGAUACUAUCAAACACCUAGAGGGGGGUGAAUAGGUGUAUAACCCAAAAACACAAAUCUCAAUGCGAUAAAAAUAAAUAUGAAAAAUUAAAUAGCACACCAAGAUUUACAUGGAAAAACUCUAAUUUGGAGAAAAACCUACGGGACCAACACGCGAAAAAACAAUCCACUAAGAGAAAAAGAUUUUAAGGUAAUUACCGACUCCAUGGGCUCGACCUUUCUUUAACCUUAUACGGAUCUCGCACACGUCAUCGGGUUAUCCACGCCCCACGUCCGAAUCUACGAACGCCACGCUUGACGUUCGAAUCCACGAACACCACGUCCCGAAUCCACGAGAUGCCUACCUUCGAAUCCACGAAGCCUUGAUCACGCUGAAUCAACGAUGCCCACUCGAAUCCACGAGUGCACUCCGUCCGGAGCAAGAACAAUACGAUUGGUGAUGAUUUACUGUUUAGAAUCUCAUUAAAAAUCUGUGAGAAUAAUUUCUAAGCAAUUCUCAAAUUGAUUAAAGAAGAACAUUAAGAAUUAGGGCACCAAGAAUCAAUUUAAGAGAAGCUUGUUGUAGAAGAUGAGAAAAACGGCUACCUACAAGCUUCUAGGGUUUCUAAACGAUAAUCUAGGCUUAACCAUAUUUUAGAGAUACCCUCACAUCUUAUUUAUAGGUUUAGAAGACAUUAGAAAUAGAUUAGGAUUAAAAAAAACCAUAUUUGGAAACUCAAAACCAUAUUUGGAAAACUCACGUUGGGUUUAGGGUCCGGACUUCCAAUAGGGUUCGGAUCUUGAAAGUCCAAAUCUUGAUUCCAACGUCCGGACCCUCCCUGCGUAACAGCAAAACCGACGUACGGGUUCCGGACCCUGGACCCAAGGUCCGGACCCUCUCUGCGUAUCAGCCAGGAGGGCGUACGGGUUCCAGACCUUGCACCUAGGGUCCGGAUCCUGAAACUUGGAAAACUCAGUUUUGAAUUUUUUAUCAAUUUAUACAUAUUCUAAUAUCUUCGAAACACUUGUAAAUGCUCAUAAAUUAUCAUCAACAUAAUUUAAACUUAUUGGGCAUUGUGGAUUCAUGUUUUGCGUCUUUGAGUCUUCAAUCUUCGUCCUUCUUUAAACUUUCAAGACUCCGACUUCACGAAAUAUACCAAUUUAAAAUUUAUAACACUUAACGCUUAUUGCAUAUCAUCAUGCCUCAGUUGACCUAUUGGUGUAUUUCGCCACUCUCGGCGGCUUACCCACUGGGAACUAUUGUUUAAUAGUUCUCACUUUCAUUGGUUGUUUGUUUUUGUUUCAGAGCCUUUCACAGUAGGAGAGGCUAGGGAUCGUGGCAAAGGGUCAUCGACUAGCUAGCGCCUCCUCGGUGUUAUUAUAGUUGAACCCGUAGACACCUUUCUUUUGGUUUAGUUUGAAUGAUGUAUAACUGUACCUUUGUUCUUCUUUGUAAUUCUUGAAAAGGUAACUUUAUAUAGUAGACUUAUGUAUUUUCUUUGAUAGCCCUGUUAGGAAUUUAUUUCUACUUCUUUCCAUAUUGUUGUAGAUGCCUUGUGUGCACCGAGGGUACUUGGUGUACAUGGCAAGUCUGUGCACGCGUCGGGCGGGCUUCCGCUGGAGCCCGGGUGUGGCAUAGGGUAUUGGAAUUGAAGGUGGUAAUUGGUUUACCGCAAAUGAAUGCGGUGAAUGGUUAACCGCAUUUAUAAACGGUAAACUAUUCACCGUCUUCAUAAGCGGUAAAUAGUCUACCACAUUCUAUUGCGAUGAACCAUUUACAACAUUCUUGAUUUUUCACUAUAUUCUCACAGGCCUACAAACGCGGUGAAUGGUUUACCAUAUUCUUAUAUGCGGUGAACCAUUUACUGUAUUUGAUCAAUUUACUGGCCCAACCUAUUUGAGCCCUAUUUUUACAAUAAAAUUUUUAUCAGGACUGUUUUUAAAAUUAUAAAAUUUAGUAAGAUUAUUUAUAAAGAAAUUCCUUUAUAUAAGUUUUGCGUAAUUUGAUUGAUUUUUUUUUUCAUAAAUGAUCCUACCAAAUUUUACAAUUUCAAAAAUAGACUUUUUAAAAAAUAAUUAUAAAAAUAAACCUCUAAUAUGCUACAUUAAAUUUUUGAAAAAAUAAAUAACACAAGCGGUGAAUGAAUCACCGUAUUUAAAUGCGGCGAAUUAUUCACUGCUUUCAUAACUUCUCUUUUCAUUCAUUCUUUCAUCAUAUAUUUUUUAAAAGCGGUAAACCAUUCACCGCUUUCUUUCUCCGUAAAAAAUUUGAUGAAUGCGGUGAAUCAUUUACCGUUUUUAUUUUUUUUAUUUUUUCAGAAGACUAUAUUUACAAAUAAAAUUUUGACGAAUCUAAUUUUAAAAUAAAAUAAAAUAAAAGCCUAAUAUACUAAAAUCUCCCAUUUGAUCGUUGACAAUUUGUGGCUGAUCCCACAAGGGAAGUGGAAUGGUGGUGUUGGUGGGUCCCAGUUGGGUAAUAGAAAAAGUUGGGCCUCGGCAUAGGAAGUGUCGAACCCCCGCGUCUCAUCGGAGAAGCCGCCCGUCUUCUUCUUUACAACAUCAUAUUAUUCUCAAUUCCCCCAGUCUUAUAACCAAGCAGGUGAAGAACAAGAAAGAAGAGAAAGUUAGAACGGCCAAAGAGUUAAGAGGUAGGUGACAUUUCUCUGACCCGACAACAUUGUUGAGCUGUGGAGGAAGCAUACAUAGGACUCGAUCGCCAUGUGUUAUUAGAUGGUAUGCUAGCUUCUUUUCUCUUCGCUUAUUUUUAUCCUGAAGCGUCCCUUUCUUUUUAGUAGUUUGAGAUAAGAGAUGAAUAAAAGGCUAGUAACUGUGUUUUGGACAUGCGAGUUAUGCUUAUGUUGUAUAGCUUCUCGAAGGUAUUAAUUAAGCAGAUCAAGUAGGCUAAAAUUUUAAGCCCCUUAAUUGCAGCAUGGGACGACUCUCUAUCAGGUACUUUGGCCUUGCCGAAGGGUAUGGUGCUGUUUGCAUUGUGCUAUUACGAGAACAUUAUACUGAAUACCCUUGAAAUCUUCUUUUGCUAUUAGAAUUACAAGCACUGAAUUCGCCUGCUGCUUUUGAGAACAGGAAUCUCAUUUCUACUUCCAGCUGUUUCUAUUUGAAGUGCCAAGACUCUCUCUUUUUGCUGCACUCUAGUGAAAUAGAAUGAUAUUCUACGGCAGGAAAUAUAGAAGUGGGGCCAAAAAGGCCCUAAGGCUUAUGUCUGAGCUCUGUUGUUUAGGCCUUUGAUAACCUUUCAAAGAACCUGCUCUUUUAGUAGCAACUUACUACGAAGUUUCACAUGGUCAGUUAAUAAACUGAACUUUAAUUUUUAUUUUGGUCAAGUCACUUUAUCAAAUUUAAUUUGCUUAAUAGAGGGAUUACAUGAGAGCAGAUUCUACCCCUCUCCAAGAGACAAUAUAGCAAACUAUGUUGCACAGAAAUGGAUAUAACACAACAGUUCUUAAAAACUUUAGAAUACAAUAUGUGGGGUGUAAUCGAAUAAAAUAUUAAUUUUAUAUAUAUAUUUAAAUAUAUGUUGAUUGUAUAUAAUGAUAUAUUAAGAACAAUCAGGAUAUUUGGAUUAUACUAAGAAAAAUAUACUAAUAUACAUUAGCUUGUACAAUUCUUUUAAAUUUGUUCCUCACAAAUAGGGAUGUCAAUGGGUACGAAUACCCGAAAUUUUAUCCGAACCCGAACCCGAAGGGAGCGGAUAUAUCCAAUGCUAAACGGAUAUGGAUUCGGAUAUGGAUAUCAAAAAUAAAAACCCGACGGAUAUGGAUUUGGAUAUGGAUUUUGACUGUACCCGUCCUGAACCUGAACCUGAACCUGAACUUGAACCCGACCCAAACCCGAAUUUAUUUUGCAUUAUAUAUAAUAUAUAUAUAAAAAUUUGAUGUUAUAUUUGAAUUUGUAUUUUAAAAAUUUAGAUUUAAUGUAAUAUAUUUUUAAAUAUUGAAAAAAUAAUAAUUGUUUCGGGUUCGAAUUUUCGGGUUCGGGUUUCGAAUUUUUGGUCGGAUUAGGGUUUUGAUGUGGAUUUUUAAAAUCCACUGGGUUCGGAUUCAGGUUCAAGUCUCGGGUUUGGAAUCGGUUUGGGUUCGGGUUAGUGUUUUUGAAAAUCCGCCCCGAAUCCGACCCGUUGACAUCUCUACUCACAAAAGGUAAUUAAUCGUAUUAAAUAAUAAUCCAAAAAUAUCAACCAACCAUCAUCCAACUUGAGCAAAUGAUAAUUGUUGAUUAAAAACUCAAAAUUUUGAUUUUUGAAUUUAUUUUGUUUUUGAAUUUAUUUUAUUUAAUAUUUUAUUUAUUUAUUAUUUAUUUAUUCACCUUUCUUGGUGCGUAAGAAAACCUAAUGGGAUUUUCUGCUGUUCCUUUUCUUGCGCCAAAAGGGAGAGAACAUGUGUUCUGUUACUUUUGCCUAACAAGAAAGAACAUGGUCCGACUCUUUUUUACUCCCUGUUCCCUUUAUAUACAUUCAUCCUCUGUUCUUACAGAGAUAGAGAAAAGACAUUGAGAUAAAAAAAAUAGUCAUCAUCUUUUCAUUUUUCACAACUUUUUACAUUUCUCUUAUGAUGCAAACCGAGAGGUUGCCAAAAUUGAAUUUUCAAGUUUGCUUUUGUUUAAAGAUAAAACUAGGUUUAAUUUAUCAAUUCCGAUGAACUUUAAGCAAGAAAGCAAAAAUUUCAGCAAGACAAAAAUUAAAAUCGAAUUGAAGUAAUACUAAGAUGAUGAUAACCUUCAAUAUAUAAGAUAAUAACAACCAAUUGAAAAUACAUAUAAUAGUUUCAAAAGGUAAAUUCGGCUUUAUCGGACUUAAAGCUUUAGGUUUGGUUGCUUGGUAAAUAUAGUUGGUAAUGGUGGAAGGCUAGAUUAAAAGGGGAUAAUAGGAUAUCAGGAGAUGAGAGAUACAAAAAGUGCACCGUUCACACGAUUGCGGGGGAUCCAUGAUUGACGAGGAGGGCGGUACACCAUGGGUAAAACUUCGGUAACGGGGAAGAAGAAGAUGAGGUAGUGACUCGGAAGAAGAGGAAGAGUAGAAGUAAAAGCCGAUCUUGUCACGAGAAAGAAACGACAACGAUCAAGUUGAGGAAAAAGACGAUCUCAGCGCGAGGAAGAAGCGUCGAUGAUCUCACCGGGAAGUAGAACACCAAGGAUAAAGAGUGAGAGUAGAAUUUUCUAUUCAUCCAAAUAUAUCUUCUAAGGCUUCAAGAACCAUGUAUUUAUAGUGUUGAGAGCCCUUUGAUAAUAAAUUAUUGUCUUUUCGUUUUCAACACAACACGGUCACCCAAGAGUCAUGCAUAGAAAACGAAGCAAUUUUGGGAAAUUCCAAAGGUCUUUUUGGGAUUGUUUCUUUGUUUAUUGGAGAAAAGGGUUUGAGUUAGCCAAAUCAACUAAAAUUAAAUGAUUUAAGUCCGAAUCAAACACGAACCUACAAAAUAAAAGAAAAUUGCAUUCAAAAAUAAAAUGAGGUUUAUUUGCUGCAUCAUCUUAUUUACUGGAUGUUGAAAGAAUUCCCUUCAACUUCCAACACGAUCGUGCUCGCAGGAGGAGAAAUUCUGGUCGUACUUUGGAGUGUUAUUCUCGGUUAAUCCCGCACAAAGGACAGAAAUAUGCCUUGGGGCAGUACUACGCACGCUUCCUGAUAGAUCAAAUCUUCUAUUUAGAUUUUUGCUCUCAUCUAUAAGUUUAAUUUUAUCUUUAUUACUACAUUAGUUAUAUUUUAAUUACAAUCGGAUUUAGUAGUACUAUAUUUUCUCCAACAAUCUAAGGCGUACUUUCCCAACCUGAUUGUGGUUAAAAAUCUAAUGGGUGCUAAUCUGUUUUUUUUAAAAAAAAAUAUUGCCUAUAAUUCCUAUUUGACAACUUUACUAUAUACUUGUCAUCUAUGAUGCACGGAUACUUCAAAUUUCAUGCCGUAUCCGUAUCGGAUACGUAUCGGAUACCGAUACGCGCCCGAUACGUGUCCGAUACGGGAAUGAAGUAUCUGGCAUUUUUAAAAAAUAAAAAAAUAUCGGAUAUGGCUCGGAUACGUGAGGGAUACGGGGGGAUACGGGGGGGACACGGCACGGUUCUUUUUUGGUCUAAAAUGAUUGAAACUUAAAAUUUUUUUAAAAGCUCACGUCCAAACCUAUUGGAAAGAAGGAAAAGAGUGAGAAAAACACCAAUAUCUGUUCAAUUUGUCAUUUCAUCUAUCUUUUUGUUCUUGAAUGGUAGAAGGCCUCUUGUUCUAUCUUCACACAGUAUUUACUCUCUUCCAUCUAAUUUGUCAACCUAGUAUUAAGCAACAAAGGCUAUAGAAAAUAUGAUUUUUUUGUCCUUCUCUAUUAAAUUGUUAGCAUAUUUUUUUAUUACUAUUUUAAUAAUAGAACUAACAAAUCAGACAUAUAUAUUGAAUGGCUAAUUAUCUAGUUUGUGCGACUAUAUAUUUAUUGUUAUCAUUUGAUCAAGUUGAAUGAUAGUUGGUUUGAUACUUUUUGAAUUAUUAUUUAAUAUGAUUGAUUAUCUUUUUUCAUGAACAUAUGUAAAAUAAUUAUACAAGUUAAUGCAUAUUAGAAUAUAUUCCUUAAUAUAGUCUAGAUAUUCUAAUUGUUCUCAAUAUAUCAUUACAUAUAAUCAACAUACAUUUAAAUAUAUUUAAAAUAAUAUUUUAUUUAAGUAUAUCCCGCGUAUCGUAUCCUAGAAGUUUUAGAAAUUGCCGUAUCACCGUAUCCGUAUCGUGUCGUAUCCGUAUCCCCGUAUCCGUAUCUGUGCAACAUAGCUUGUCAUAUAAAUUAAAAUAUUUCGGAAUCAGCACUUUAAAUUAGUAAUUUCAUAUCUUUAUAGUUUAAAUUGCAAACCUUUAUUUAUAUAUAAUUUUUUAUGGUAUACUGCUGUUUUUUAAUAAAAAGGAGUUUGUACGGACAUUAUUUUUGUUAUAGUAAAAAAAAAGGCUUAAAAAAAUUAAUUUUUCUGUAGCCUUGGUUUUUUUUAAAAAACAUUACUGUUGAAAAAAUAUUGACUUUUCCUGAAAAAAGGAUUUUACUGUAGCUUAAAGAAAUUAUGGUGUAUUGCUAUUUUAAAAAAAAAGAACAUUAGAGUUUUGAUUUUUUACAAUUUAAAGAAAAGGAGGUUUAAUUUUCUGUAUUAAAAAGACUAUUGAAAAAAAAGAAAAGGGUGUUUUUGCUUUCUACGGGAUUUGAACCCAAAGCUUUUAUUUUGCCCUAUAAAAAAAAUGGACAGGACAUUGAUUUUCUGUACCUUUAACAAAAAAAGGUUUAGUCACUAUAGCAAAAAAUCCUUAAUAUUUUAAAAAUAUUUCAUUAUAAAAAAAAUUAAAAUUAAAUUAAAAUUAAAAUACAAAAUAUAAAAAUAAUUGAAAAUUCAGUUUGCACCUCAAAACAUAAAAUUAAAUUUAUAAUUUAAAUUCAAACUAAAAGUUAAAUAUUAAAAAUUUACAUCAAAAUAUUGAAAUGAUAUGCCAAAAUUUUAAAUGUAAUAUUUUAAAAGAUUAAAAUUUAAAAUUGUGUGGGCAAUUUAAAAUAUAAAACUAAUUUUUGAUUUGAUUCAGAUUCAAACUUACAAUUAAAUUUAAAAUUAAAUUUAUAUAUCAAAUUCAAAAUGCUUGAUUGAAUUUAUAUUUUAAUUUAAUUUCUAAUUGAAAAUCUAGAAUUAAAAAUUAAUUUUAAAUUUUAAAUUUAUAAUUUAAUUAAAAAUUAAAGUAAAAAAUUUAAUUUAAUUUUAAAUAACAAAUAUGAAAUAUAAUUUAGAUAUUUUUGUAAAGUGCAUUCUUUCCACCUAGAUUCAACUUCUAAUCCGGCUUGUGAGGAAAAUAGCAAUCUAGGGCCGAUACCGAAAAUUGUGCAACUGCGAGACCAGCUGAGGGUACCAAUUGGUAGGUCUUGACGCAACGAAGCCCGUGCUCGCUGUCCGGAGCACGAACAAUAGCCGAGGAGUGCGCCGGGGCUACGUGAACUGACUAAGAAGUCCACCGGGAGUGACACUGUCAAAACUAGCAAUUGAGGCCCCGCGAGGUGAGCAUGGAGGUCCACGACACCUCUAGAAAUCCGUGCUCACCUCAAGGUCUCCGGCCACCAGGAGAGCUGGAAUAGUAGAGCUCGGCCAAGAAUUCUAAAGCCCCGAGACCGAGCUGGAGCAACCACUUCCGACGAGGCGCUCCGGUGGCACAGGGACCCGCGCCGCCGACAGGGUUUGGGCGCGGCGGCCAAGGGACCACGAUGCUCAAGGCAACCGACGGCGGCGACAGAAAGCGGCGGCGGCGGUUCUGCAACACCGGCCGGAAACAAAAUCCCAAAGUUCUAGGGUUUCCUAUUCUGGCUGUGGCGGCGGCUAGGGAGGGUCGAGGUCAGUGCCGGAGGUCCACAAGAGCCCUCCACGAUAGGCGGCGGCUAUGACGACGACGAGGACGCAACAUUGGCCGCGUUCUUGCAACUCCGGCCAACACUUCAAGAAUCGGCUCAAGAAGCUUCCGUUGGCCACGGCGACGCACAACGGCGCCGGGGAAGGUUGGGGUGGUGUCGCUUGGGCCCUAGGGUGGCAGCGCUCGCGGGCUGGAGCGCUUGGGGCCACCACAGCAGGAGCUCCACCAAAACAGGUUGAGGGAUGGAGAGAAAUGAGUUGAGGAAAAUGGAGAGGAAAUUGGGCCGGAACAGGAUAGCCAGACGGUUGUCGCCGAUGGCCAGGGUGGGUUGCUGCGUGAGAGAAGAGAGGGGACGCGGCUAGGGCUCGGGUGAAGAAGAGAGGGAGUUAGGAUUAGGGUUAGAGAAGUAGAAACCCUAGGUUGCAUAUAUGUAGUGGAGGGACAAAUUGCUAAUAAGUCCUCCAAAUGUCAGAAUUUCAAACCGAAUCCCUCGCAGCGCGUGUAAAACGCGCUAAGGCACCUCCAUGUGCGAUUCACACAAAUCGAUACAUAAAAUAAUAGGUAUUUUCUAAAAAUACCAAUUUCCCAACAUCGACCUCCUCGAACAACUUGCAAUUUCGGACGAUCAAUUCGUCGGAUUUGCGAACGGAUUGCAUCGCAACCUUCGACAUUGCCGAACUAUCAGAUCUGCGAUUUUGUUUCGCCUAAAUCAAUUGCCAAUUCACGAUGAAUCCAUCCCCUCUCCGUCUCCAUAUAUAUAUAUAUAUAAUAUAUAUAUAUAUAUAUAUAUAUAUAUAUAUAUAUAUAUAUAUAUAUAUAUAUCUCGAUCUGACCUUAUGAUAACUAUCGUUUUCUAGGAAAAACGAUAGUUCAAAAAUUAGGAAUCUACUAUUUAACAUCCUAAUCCUACUAUAAUUAGGAAUCCCAACUCACCAGGGGGAUCCCAACUCACUAGGGGUGACCCAAUAUUAUAAAUUAGGUUACCACUCUUUACUACUUUUGUUAACUAGGUUUCCAAUUUUUGAACUAUCGUUUUUUCCGAAAAACGAUAGUUAUCGUAAGAUCGGGUUGAGAGAGAGAGAGAGAGAGAGAGAGAGAGAGAGAUACUANCAAAUUUAAAAAGAAAUUAAAAUUUAAAAUUUGAAUCUCAAUUCAAAAGUUUCGGAUAUUACACCCUAACUGGAGAAUUCGGACUCCGGAGAGAGGAUCCGGAUCCUUCGCACUUUGAAGGUGCAGUUCGAGGGGGUUUUGUGCAAAUGUUACAACACCCUUUUAAAAGGGGACCCCAGCCCCUUCUCUCCCGCAUGAACACACAUAUUCCUCACUCUUUCUCACUCUUCUCCCUCUCUCUCUAGAAAUCUCUCCAAUACUUGAAGAUUUGGGGAACUUGAUCUCGGCGGAGCUUCUUGGAGUGGAGGACAAGUUUCUUGGAGCAAGAAGAAGCUUGGGGAGCUUGAGGUAAAGGUGAGUUUGUAGGGUUUUGACUUAGGAUUUUGGAUUUAUCCCUUAGAUUUGGAAUUUUAUCAAACCUUGGACAAAUUUAGGCUAUAAAUGGUAGAGAUUUGCCAUGAGAUUUAGAUUUUUCCAUAGCUUUUGAAAAAUCCUAGAUUAAAUUGGGAUUUUUGGAUUUUGAAGGUUAAAAAUAUUUGGACCCUUUAGAACUCUAAUUGAAGGUUAGAGGAACGCGUGGAACAAAUUCAUUUCGAGGAAUGAAAGGAUCCCGGAGGUCGAUUUGAAGUAACGAGCUAAUUUUGGGUGUUUUUGGGCGAAAAAGUUCGGAGCAGAGCAAAUAGCCUACAGAAACCUAAUUGCAAAGUGUCUACGAGUAAUUGGGAGUGUAUUGAGGUGGGUUGUGCUUCACUAAAGUGAUUUAGUUACUUUCAGCUCUAGAGAGUAAAUAAUUAAAUAAAGUUAUGCAUGAUAAAUGGUAGUUUAAUUAGUAAAUAUGCAUGCAUGAGACAUAUGUUACUUAGUAUAAUUUACCACCAAUGUAAAAGUAAAUGCAUAUGUUGUCAUCUUGCACACCUAUGUUAUGGACUAGACGUAGAUUGAUAUUUCUUUAGGGACAUUAGAGAACUCAACAUGUGAAUACAAAGAACCUAGUAUAAUUGAACAUAGGUUGGAAAACAUAGUGAGUAGGAUACCACUCGAACAAGAUGACUUGGAAUUGACAAUGUAGGGUGAAAACAAUGGACCCUCAAGACCAUGAAAGGGAAAAUUCCAAAAUUUCGAAACCUACGGAUGGGCGUGCGUGGAAUGCCACUUAAUACCAAGGUGUGACAUGCUACCUGCAAACCCAUGGGCGGCGGUGUGUGGAAUGCCACCUAAUGCCGGAGUGAAGGUACGAGAGAUGAAGUUGCUAUCUACAAUCCUAUGGUCCGAGUUGCGUGGGAUGCCACCUAAUGCCAAGGUAAGGGGGCGACUUCACUAGCUAUGGACUCAUAGCCAGAGGUGGGCGAUAGUUUUGCCACCUAAUGCCAAGAUGAAAGCGGCGCUUCCGCUAUGAAUUGACCCACGCCCUGGGUCGGGUGACAUGUGGAUAGGAUAAUAAAAUAGUAAGUAAAAGUGAGAAUAACUUACUCGUUGAAUUCCAUUAUCUCAUGCCUCCUUUGAACCUAGUGGGUCGAGCUCUUUCCUGGAUGGCCGUACCUACUGAAAACUAUGUUUAUAGUUCUUACCACCAUAUUUUUCAAGUUCAUUUGCAGACGACAUGGCGGAGCGAGGAAAUGGCGUAGCACCAUAGAUAGCGGCCCUUCCAUAUUUGAGGUUUGUACCCUCUUUUGGAAAAUGUAAUGAAAGAGAAAGGAAAAGAAAAUUUUGUAAUGAAGUAUUUUGGAUUGUAUUCCGGAAAGACAAUGUAUGUAAUUGAAUGAAUUAGCGGAACCAUGUAAUAGAAAGUAGUUGUUUUAUGUUUAUAUGAUAUUCUCCUUGUACAAUCCAUGUAUACAGUUCCUGUUUGGAAUGUGUUGUAUAUAAAGGUUGUCACGUCUUGGGCGGAUAGGAGUAACUCUGUUUAUUCGGUGGGUCUAUGCGCGUGCCCAAUGAGUGCUUCCAUUGCGGUCUCGGGGGGUGACAUGGGUUGUCUUGAUUUAGUAGCUUUGUUUUGUUAUUCCUUUUCUCCUUCUUCCCCUUCUUUUCUUUCUUCUCUUUUUAUUGUAGCUAGCAGGUCCAAUGUUUAAUCUACUUAGGGAUGUCAAUAGGUAUGGAUAUCCAAAAUUUUAUCCGAACCCGAACCCGAAUGAAACGGAUAUAUCUGAUGCUAAAUGGAUAUGGAUUCGGAUAUGGAUAUCAAAAAUAGAAACCCGAUGGAUAUAGAUUCGUAUAUGGAUUUUGACUGUACCCGACGCGAACCCGAACCCGACCCGAACCCGAAUUUAUUUGUAUUAUAUAUAUAUAUAUAUAUAUAUAUAUAUAUAUAUAUUUGAAUGUAUAUUUGAAUUUGUAUUUAAAAAUUUAGAUUUAAUAAAAUAUAUUUUGAAAUAUUGAAAAAAGAAAUAAUUGUUUCGGGUUCAAAUUUUCGGGUUCGGGUUUGGGUUCGGGUUUCGGAUUUUUGGUCGGGUUCGGGUUUGGAUAUGGAUUUUUAAAAUCCGUCGGGUUCGGGUUUGAGUUCGGGUCUCGGGUUUGGGGUAGGGUUCGGGUUCGGGUUUUUGAAAAUCCGCCCCGAAUCCGACCCGUUGACAUCUCUAAAUCUACUACUGUAGUUGGUCAUUGUAGCCUAGCUUUUGCAGUGCAUGUGAUGCUACCUGUGCUCUCUCUUUUCCUAGUGACAUAGUUUAGGAAUUCCCUAAAAGGCUAAAACCAUUCAAAAUAAAUUAACUUUUAAUCUUUGAUGGGAUCUUUGCAAUUGUCUUCUUCUCUAUGCUGCUACCUCUAGCAUAGCAGCAUAAGACGGAGUCUUUACAUGGUUUUUUUCUCUUCUAGGUUUUCUUGCUAUUUGUUUUUUACUUGCAUAACUAUUGAUGUAAUGUUACCUAAUUAAGCUCAGUAUAUAGAAGUGUCUAGAUAUAUUUGGGUUCUGUGUUUUCUUCAUUUGUUAUGUUUCAUAGCUCAUAUUAUGGUUUUAUAACUAGAUUCUUUUGUUUUUGUUACCAGGUGCAUCUCCAUCUCCAUCGCCCUCAGAACGAUUCUUGGUAGUGAUUUCAUCUAAACAACAAAAUAUGGAAACCUCAAACUCAUUUUUACUCCUUAUCAUCCUUAUAAUUCUUGUUAUCAUCCUACUUGUAAUGGCUGUCUUUUGGAAGUGUAUCAAAGUCGAGACAUUCUUUAAAACAGUAAAAACUACAGGAACCCUUUCAGGUAAACCUCAUUACCUUCAGAUGACAUUUACCUAUUAAAUAUACGAUAUAUGUGAUAUUACUUAUACUGCAAUGUGUUUUGUGCUAUCAGUCCCUGAUUACUUCAGCGGUAAUCUUCGAACAAUAAGCCACUUCAGCUACAAAACCUUAAAGAAAGCCACCAGAGAUUUCCAUCCAAAAUACCAGCUCGGAAUAGGAGGUUUUGGCACAGUCUAUCGGGUAUUUGAUGCUAAGAAUAAACAGACUAGAGAAUAACUAACUACAUUUUUUUUUUCAUUUUUCUUCACUGACUAAUUGCAUAUAUCCUUGCAAAUAUGUGAAAUUGUUCAAAUAGCUCACCAAAGUUGGAUUUUGCUUGCGCAGCCCUGUGACCUAACUUAUAUGCUUGCCCACCCUGCCAAGGCAUCUGACUGAAUAACCACUGCAUUAAUACUCCUAGUUUAUGCAUGUUGUAUACCCUUGAUGGCACACACGUGCAAGUGAAUCAGUAUGCGCAAACACCAGCUUUGCAGGGGCACUGGCACAAUUUUAUAUAUUUACUGUAAUAUGUUUGCAAUAAAUCAUUUUUAGAUUGUUGCAAUCUCGUCGGUUCUUAAUAUAAUUUUUAACAGGGAGUACUAGAUGAUGGGAGGACGAUUGCGGUGAAACAAUUGUCAGUUGGAACUUCUAAGCAAGGAGAGAAUGAAUUUCUUGCUGAGGUUAAGAUGAUAACAAGCAUCCAGCACAAAAAUCUUGUUAGGCUUGUGGGCUGCUGUUCGGAGGGGGCGCAACGACUCCUUAUCUACGAGUACAUGCAAAAUGGAAGCUUGGAUAAUAAUCUAUUUGGUUUGUUUCUCAAGAAUUAAUUAUUUAAAAGUUAAUUUCAACUCUAUUUUGCAUGUUUAAUUGUUUAAUUGUUUAUCAGUUUACUUCAAUUCUAUUUUUUCUUGUCGGGUUAUAGUUCAAAUGUAUCCCUUGCAAUUUGACUUGAAUUUCAAUUUCAUUGUAAGAUUUUCAAUUGUGACAGUUUUACAUUUAUUUCAAUUCAUCCUCGAAGUUUCAAUUUUGAUUUUAAUAAAGGAAAGCCUGGAGAUAGUGACAUGGAACCUUUUCGGAUAGCAGACUACAGGAAGGACUUAAUGAUAUGCAAAAUAAAUUUCGAGGACAAAAUUGUUACACUUGGAACUAUGGGCAUGAGCAUUGAAAUCAAUGUCAAAUUUCAGGGCUGAUGCAUAGUCAAACAUUCUUUGUUCAAUGUCCAGAUUCUUUCUUCUUUUCUUUUCUUUUCUUUUUUUUUUUCAAACCCAUAUGCAUAGGAAAAUAUUGACUCCAAAAAUUUAUGUUUUAUGAACAUGGCUAAACAGAAAACGGUGAAUCGUUUUUGAAUUGGAAGACAAGGUUCCAGAUCAUUCUUGGUGUAGCAAGGGGUUUACGAUAUCUGCAUGAGGACUCAAAUUUAAGGAUUGUUCAUAGAGAUAUCAAGGCCAGCAACAUCCUUCUUGAUGAUAAAUUUCAACCCAAGAUAAGCGAUUUUGGUUUGGCUAGGUUUUUCCCUGAAGACCAAGCAUAUCUCAGCACCAAAUUUGCAGGAACUCUGUAAGUUGUUGAUUGAUUAUUUGUUAAUGGACUAACUCAUAGUUUAACAGAUUUGACAAUCCCUGAGAGCGGGCAAUUAUAUGACAUCAGAUCUAUCGCUUUUAUUAAUAAUAUAGCGUGACUAACAUAUCUAUAUGUAUAGUUGUAUACUAACUAUAAGUAUAACUAAUUUUAAAUACUGUAAUGAAUUAUGCAUCAAUUUCAACUUUUACCUAGAUUGAAUCUGUUUUGGACACAUGUUGACUAAUUAGAUAUUAUAACUAGAUACUUUUGGUAUCACCGAAUGCAAGUACCUCAGAAAAUAAAUACCUUUUAUCAAUAAUAGUUUAGAAGCAUAACAUAAUCAUUAUCGAACUAGGUCCUAUGUUCUUCACAAAAGGUUGGCCUUUACCGUAAUAACAGUUAAUACGUAUGUCAAGUGGAUUAUUUAUGAUUAGUUUCUGGUAGUUUGCUGAUAUGAAUUCUAAUCACAUGGCAGAGGCUAUACUGCACCUGAAUAUGCUAUAAGAGGAGAGCUUUCUGAGAAGGCCGACAUUUACAGCUUUGGUGUUCUUGUGCUUGAGAUCAUUAGCAGCAGGAAGAACACAGACCUUACACUACCUACUGAGAUGCAGUAUCUUCCAGAAUAUGUAUGUUGUUCACUUUAUCUAAUCCUGCCUCAACUGCAGAGUAGUCAAUCACAAAAAAGAUGGCCGAUAAAUAUGAUAAAUAAAAGCCUGAUCUUAGUUCCUAUAUCUCUAUUCAUUAGUGCUUUUGCACGUAUCACCCUGAACAUGUCCGAAAUUGCUCAAAUACUCUUGAAAAGCUUGGAAUUUACAUGGGUGCCCCUGAAAGGAGCUUUUAUGUUCUUUCAUGCCCUCGUCAUAGCUCGUAAGUAUGUAUGUAAAAAUUGUUUUGCCUAGAAAUUCCCAAAGGGGCAUACACAACUGAGGUUUUUUGAGGCACAAGCGGACACCAACUUGUAGGGGUAUUUGCUCAUUUCGCAUAUUUGGAGGGAUAUGUAUACAAAAAAAAAAAAAAAAACCCUUUUCUUUUCCUCUUGUAGGCAUGGAAGCUUUAUGAGAGAUCGAAGAUCAUCGAGUUGGUCGAUCCAAAACUGAAAGUUGAUGGGACAGUGGAGAGAGAUGUGUUACUAGUAUGUGACGUGGCAUUGCUGUGCCUCCAGCCAUACCCGAGCUUACGGCCUCCGAUGUCUGAAAUAGUCGUGAUGUUAGCAUGCAAAACAGAACCACCUCCUGCUCCUAUGAAGCCGGCAUUUCUUGAUCGCAAGAAUAGAUUUUCGACUGAAAGCACAUUUCUAGUACCGUCCCCUUCACCAUUUCGUAUCGACUCGCCCUCCUCCCACAUUGAGAAAUAGUACCUGUCUAUGCCAUUAUGAUGACAGGCUCUAUAAGACUUGCUGAGAGAGGAGGGCCACUGCAGUAUAUCUAUAUAUGACAGCAAGAUUUUUUUUUUACCAGAUUGACUACUGCCGUGCCAACAAUAUGUUGUUUGCUGCCUAUAUGUAUGGAUAAAAAAAUGUAUAAGUUAAAUUGUCAUUCACAAGGCACCACCGCUGCAAUGUGAGAGUGUAAAUUCAUGGAGCAAGAUAUUGUUACAGUAUCUGCUAUUUGAAUUAGAGGGGUAUGACAGUAUGUAGGAGUCAAGAAAUCCAGAGACUUUAUAUAUCGCUCUUGUGGUGUUGGGUCAUCUGACUCCAAUUAGUUGUAAGUCGUUAGAUUUCAUAUGGUUCAUUUUAUAUUUUAUAUUUUUUACAUAUUAAAGUCCAAAUAAAGAAGAGCUCUAUCUCUUUUUGCGGCACAUUGUAAUUAAUUUCAUUUAGUCUUUUUGUCACAACAAGUUUAAUUCUUCUAGCUUCAUGUCGUUGAAUCCUUAUGUUAAGUCGCAAAAUUUCGUAUGUUUAGUCAGUUACAUUUCAUAUAUGUUUGUGUAUUACAUAUAAAAGGGUUAACCUUCCUAAGCUCGAGAUAAUAUGAUAUAGGAAGAAGACAUGAUGCUUAUACUUUAGUCCUUGCAACCAGUAUUUUACAAGCACCCAGGCUACAUUACUCCAUGACAAGAAAACAAUAUGUGAUGCCCUAAGCAUCCCACAUUGGAUGGGCAAGAAGUUGUGAAUGAGAAUACAAGUACCAAGGACUAACAAUAAUUAGGCUAGAGCAUUUUGGGCUGGUGAUUUGGAUGCAAUUAGUUAUUAGUGCUAGUAAAUUAGAUCGUGCUUAUCAUCGGUCACAAUUUGUACAAUGUACUUCUCUACGACUUCAUCAAUGACCUUCUUGGCUUCUUUAUGUGUCUUUGUGUGAAGUUGGCAUCACAAAUCUUAUCUAUCUAGUGCAUGAAAUGAUUUAUGAAUUACCAUCUUUUUGUUGUAGUACACAAUUGUGACCCCCCAUAAAGCUCCCCUAUUUCUUGUUUCUUGAAUCUUGAAUCUUGCCGCAUAACUAGAGGGACCAAACUGAGCCCUAUGCUGUUGCACAUCCUCCCACUGUUGCUACCCAUAGAGGUACUUAAGGGUGGAAACCAGCCGAGCUUGAGCGAGCAUACCUCAGCUCCAGCUUGGCUUGAAAUUAAUUUCAAGCCUAAAUUUAGGCUUAAGCUCGGUUUGAAAUUAAUUCGAGCCGAGCUCGAACGAACCUAAUUUCGAGUUGAGUGAGCUCGAGCCCUAAAUGAGCCGCUUGAAAUUCUUAACACCGUACAAUCUAUAGUUUAAUUUUUAUAGAACAUUAUCUAAAAUUUGAUAUAAAAAAUGUCUAAUAGUUCAACAUACAAAAUGAAUGAAUGAAAUACGAUGUUAUAUUAUUAAAAAAUAAUUAGGGGAAGCGAUUAAAAAGAAAUUAGGAAAAGCAACUCUACGAGCAAGUGAAAAAGAGAGAGCAAUUAGAGUAAAAUUUUGCUAGUUUGGUUUCGUGGGCCAAAUAAACUAAACUUUAUAUACAUAUAAUUAAAAUAAAUAAUAUAUAUUGCUAUAUAUAAUUAAAAUAUUAUAUAUAGAGCAGGACUGCUGUCCUCUCAGGAGCACGGAGGCCUCCGUGCUCCCAAGCCAUUUUCGAUGAUAGAAUUUUCGAAUCGACGAUCGACUCCAUUAGACUUGAUCUAGCAUAUUUGAAGUUUCUAGAAAAUUUUUGCGAUUUUUUGAUAUCAUUUACCUAGUGAUCGAAAGAGUUCAAAAUUAAUAAUUUUUAAUGGUUGAUAUAUGCCGUUUUCAAGUUUAACGGUGUAGAAGUAUUCAAAUCAGAUAAAAUUUUGAUACAAAAUUCUUUAUACUAUCUACAACAAGAUCAAUAUUUCUGAUCAAAAAUUUUAGUGCUAUAUCACGACGUUUUAUAGGAUUUUUAUUUUCAGCCGUUAAAAAUUAUUGAUUUUGAAUCCUUUUGAUUGGUAGAUAAAUGAUAUCGAAAAAUCGCAAAAAUUAUUUUCUAGAAACUUCAAAUACGCUAGAUCAAGUCUAACGGAGCCGAUCGCCGAUUCGAAAAUUCCAUCAUCGAAAACGGCUCCAGGCCUCCGUGCUCCUGAGAGCACAGCAGUCCUGCUCUAUAUAUAUAUAUAUAUUGAGAGAGAGAGAGAGAGAGAGAGAGAGAGAGAGAGAGAGAGAGAUUUGAGCUAGAAUACUAUCGAUAGCAAACGGGUUCCGAUGCCACCCAUUUGUUUUCGAUGAUGGAGCCUCCAAAUCGACGAUCGGCACCGUUAAACAUGAUCUAUACCACUUGAAGUAUUUAGAAAUCAAAUUUCGUACAUUUUCAAUAUUGUUCUCUUAUCCAUCGAGUGGACACAAAAUAAACGGCUGAAAAUGAAUAUUCUUUAAAAAAUAAUGAUAGGAGUCUUGUAAUCAAGAUCAAAAGUAUAGAUCUUGUUUUAAAUAGUUUAAAGAAUUUUCUAACAAAAAUUCAAUUGAUUUGGAUAUCUUUACGCCGUUAAACAAGAAAACGUCUCAUAUCGACCAUUAAAAUUACAAAUUUUGUAUCUGACCCUUGUUUUGAUUUCAGGUAGCCAUGUAUCGACGCCGAGGUCGACCGUUGACGCAGGACCGCUCCGCACCAGCUGAGAUGCCUGAGCAGGCAGGGCUGAGUGCACCCCCUGAUCUGAGAGAGCAGUUGGCUGCCCUGACUGAGGCGACGAGGCAGCAGGGGACAUUGUUAUAGAGGAUGUGUGAGACAUUUACUUCGCCGGAGAGCACAGCGCCUAGAGCACCAAAGCAGUCAGCACCACCACCGACUAUUCCCGUAGCCGCACCAGCUGCAGCUGUACCCCCACCCGUGACAGUUCCUACGGCGCCUGUUUCAUUUUCUUGAAAGGCGUCGCAGAUGUCUGAGGUUGAGCAGGAGCGGAUGACUAAGAGGCUUGCUCGUUUUCAUCGGUUCGAUCUGCCGUGCUUCGACGGCAGUUGUACAGAGCCCUGGAUUGUAGAGGGCUGGGUGAGUGCGAUGGAGAAGUUAUUCGAGGACUUAUUUAUACCGGAGCGAGAGCAGGUACAUCUGGGAGUGCAUUGUUUGGUUGGCGAUGCGCAUUCUUGGUGGAGGAGGAUGAGGGAUACUCGACGGUUGGUGGCGUUGCAGAUGAAGUGGGAUGAGUUCUACGGAAUGCUGUACGAGGCAUACUUCCCAAACAGCGUCAAGCAAAAACUCGAAGAGGACCUGAAGAAACUAUAGUAGGGGGAGCGAUCAGUUCAGGAGUAUACCCGUGAGUUUAUGCGACUUUUGAACUGUGUGCCAUUUGUAGCCAAGGAUGAGACCCACAAGGUAUAUCUGUAUGAGGGGGGCUUGAGGCCAGAGAUCUUUCGGUUGGUACAGGCGCAGAGGUUGAGGACCUUGGAUGCGUCUAUUGAGCAGGCAUUGUAGGUGGAGAGAGGAGAUGUGUCGAUUCGUGAGCAGGCCCAGGUGCCAGGGCAGAGUUAGGACAGGAAGCGCCCGGUUCCAGAUGAUGGAGGACAGUCGAGCAGCAGGCAUCCGCCGAGGCCUCCACGAUCACGCUAUCAGGGUCGUGGGACUUCGGGGCAACCGCGAUCUGAGGGAUCCCGUCAGCAAUAUAGGAUUCCACGGUGCAUCAUUUGUAGGGGACCACACUGGCCCCGAUAGUGCGAGCAGAGAGGGCCGGUGUGGGAGCUAGGGCACAGCUGAUGACAGCUCGGCGACGAGUGCGCCAGCUGCAGGCGAGCUGUAAGGAAGUGAAUUCUCGAAAUACGAGAAUUAGACUUCAUACGAAAUCGACCAAGGGUCGUGUUGGUGUGCUUUGGAAAAGCCAAAGAUGUCAAAAUCACCAAAAAUGCAUUAGAAACGAGUCCACGAGAGCAUUUAGUGCAAAACCUGCACUGGAGCAAGAUUGCUCUCGGGGACCGAUCCCUGGUAAGGAGGAACCGGUCCCAUCGGCUCGGGGAUUCUUAAGGCAACUAGUCCCUGGUAGGGAGGGACCGAUCCCCGAACGCGAACCCAGCGAGAAAAGCUAAAAUUUGGUUAAGUCCUGAAAGUCCCACUCUCAGGGACCGGUCUCUCAGGCAAGGACCGGUCUCUUGGGGACCGAUCUCUUAGGGAAGGAUCGGUUCCCGAACGCGUGACCCGAGCUGAGGCUCUCGGGGACCGGUCCCAAGUCGGGGAGACCGGUCCCUCUGGGCGCAGAAUGCCUAGUGAAGGCUGUGCACAGAGAUGAAAGUUGAGGGGUUUGGUUGGAUAUUGUUAUAUUAGAGGGGUAUGUAGGCCCCUUCUCUCUCUCCAACCCUCAUUUCACUCCCUCUCUUUCACUCUCUUUCUCCCUUUCUCUCUCUAGAAAGAAAAGAGAAGGAAGGAGAAGAAGAAGAAAAGAGAAGAAGAAGAAGGAGGAGAAGAAGAAGAAGAAGGAGGAGAUGAAGCUCAAGGAGGCUUGGAGCAUCUUCCUCUUCCUCUCCUCACCAUUGGAGUAGCUCAAGAGGUAAGCUCUUGAAUCCUAACUUAUGGAACUUAGAGUUUUUGGGUUUUGAGCCUUGAAAUUGGGGUCCAAUGGACCCCUAGGACCAUUGUUGAUGAAUUAAAGCUAGAGUUAGGGUUCCAAAAUGCAAAUGGCAAAAUGUGAACCCUAGAGCUCCAAUAUAAGUUUUUUGGUAAAGUAUGAGAUUGAUCUCAUUUGAGGCCUUGUAAACCUAAUUGCUAGGUGCCUAAACACGGGGGCGAAGUCGGAUUUUGCAUUCGUCAAGCGGGUGAAAAGCUAUUGGCAAAACAAGACCGACCAAGCUUCAUUUGGACCAAGAGGGCUAAAGCCUCGUCGUAAAGUCCGUUGGAGGGCGUUUCUAGAGCCUCCAUACCCUCAAGAGGUGGGGGGUGUCAUCCCGAAGCAUCCGGAUUUCUCUUUAUGUCUAAGUUAAUUUUAUUCAUCAUAUGUUGAUUGUGCAUUAUAGGAUUAGUAGAAGCAUAUUUCCAUUCCUUGCAUGCUUACUUAGUAGUGUAGCAGUAUGGGCUCAACACUUGGACUAGGGAGGCAUGAGGAUUGGGUCUUGAGACAAAGAAUCCUAUAGUGGCAAAAGUGAUGAACUUGGAUAUAGCCUAGUUGUAAUAUACCGAAAAUUCGGAAAAUAAAUAUCAAACUUUAGUCAAAUUGACCAAAGUGCGAGGAUGGUACGCUUCGGAAAGUCCGAAGGUGUUAAAAUGAGUAAAAGAGUGUUGCGGAAGGUUUUCGAGAGCUAAGAAUCAAAAUUCUGCAAACUGCAGAUUUUGAGCUCUCGGGGACCGGUCCCUGGUGGGAGAGACCGGUCCCCGAACGCGUGAGAAAUGAGACGGCCGAAAAAUCGGCUAAGUCCCUGAGAAACAGCUCUCGGGAACCGAUCCCUCCCCGAGAGACCGGUCCCCCAGAGACCGGUCCCCUAGAGAGAGACCGGUCACAUUGCGCGCAGCAGCUCUAGCUGCACUGGGAGAGCUCUCGGGGACCGGUCCCUAGUCGGGGAGACCGGUCCCCAAACCCGAAAUCUGCCCAGUCCAGGCAGUUGAAUAAGAUGAAAGUUGAGGGGUUUAUUUGCAUUUUGGCAACCCAUUGAGUAUAGUAAGGGGGGAAAAUGAGAUAUUUCUCUCAUUUCACUCCCUCUCCCACUCUCAUCUCUCUUUCUCUCUCUAGAAGACAAAGAAGGAGAAGAAGAAGAGAAGGAAAAAGAAAGGAAAAGAAGAAAAAGAAAGUGGAGAAGAAGAAGAAGGAGUGAAGAAACUCCCUCUCCUUCAUCUCUAGCUUGAAGAGGGGGGAAGCUUUGAGGUAAGCUUCAACCCUAAUCAUGCUAAAACCCUAAAAUGGGAACUAUGUGACCUAGAAAUGGUUUUAAUGAAGUCUUUUGAGUCUUUGAAGCUUUUCUUUUGCUUCAUUUGAGAUCAAGACCAUGGGUUUAGUGUUGGAGGUGAAGCUUGAAGGAGAGCUUCAUCCCCUCUCAUUGUAGAAUCCAAACUAGGGUUUGGAUUGAAUUAAAGAUGGUUUAAAUGGACUCUUUAGAGUAGAAUGAAGCUACUUAUGCUUCCCAAUGAGAUCAAACCCUAGGUUUGAUGCAUGUAAUGAAGCUAGGGCACCCAAAUUGGGGCUUUUGCUCAUGGGGAUUCCUAAGUGAAAUUGACUCUCUAGAAACCUAAUUGGGGGUAUUUCCGACGCGUUGGUGCGCUCGGAUAAGCAUUACGAAAGGUCUAUAAAAAGUUAUGGGCAAAAUGGCCUAAUAGGGCUUCGUUUUGCCGCAGGUAAAGAGCGAAGGGUCUGAAAAUUCCAAGAAAGUCAUCGGAGCACCUUUGAAAGCCUACAAGGUGGGUCGUGCUUUUCAAACUCGUUGAACUUCCCUCUAUGCCUAAUGUGUCAUUCAAUUGAGCAUAUGUCUAUACAUUGUUGCAUGCAUUUUAGGGUAAAGUAAUGAUAAAAUGUGAUGUUGCAUGAUUGUGAGUACAACUUGCAUAAUGUGAUGGUUAAGAACCUUAUGAAUGUCAAAAACCCUAUAUAUGUAUGCAUGAGAGAAAAUGUGAGCACCAAAGUGAGGCGAAAGAACAAAGUGACACUAUAUGAUAUAGAUUGAGUGGCAUUGAUAAUGUAAAGUAAAGUGACACUAGAGAUAGUGUGAGGCAAAGAAUCAAUGUGAUGUAAAGAAUAAUGCUAAUGACUAAAGUGAAAACAAAGUGGGGCGUAAAGAACAAAGAAUGCUAAAGAUAGCCAAAAGUAAAGAAAGGCAAAGAAUAAUGAUUGCUAGAGUUAGCAAAAGUAAAGAAAGGCAAAGAAUAAUGAUUACUAGAGUAGUAAUAUAAAGUGAUGUAAAGGACACUAGAGUUAGUGUAAAGUCAAGAUUGAGCAUACAAUCCUUUGAGUUAAGGAUUCGAUCAUACUUGCUAUGAGUUCCGUGCUCGAGGGCGGUCGCUCCCCCUCGGGCGAUGCGCUCCGGAGUUUUUGCAUCACGGGUUGGAGUAAACCCGAAGGACGGUCUUAGCAGGAGGAAGCUGAGGGCCCGCGAUGAUGGACUUAAUGUGAAGCAAGUUAUUGUGGCAAAACCCCCGGGUUAGCCUUGAGAUUAAAGAACAAAGAACAAAGAGCAAAGAACAAAGAACAAAGAUAAAGUGUAAAGUGUAAAGAACGAAAGAACUUGCAUAAUCUGCAUAUGUUAAUGUUGAGCAUACUUCUUGCUUAUUUGUUCAGGCAUAUUAGCAUUAUGUUAUAGAUUGGUUACUAUAUCCAGCUUAUCCUUUCUAUUAUGCCUGAGUUAGUCCUAGUGGGAAAGUCGGUGAUAUUGAGGCCGAACCCACUGGGAACUUUGUUGUAGUUCUCACCCCACUAUUUCUACAGAGCCGGGACCGGGCGAGCCGGCGAACAACUGAGGUAAAGGUAUCGUGCCUUAGUCAGAGGCCACCAGAGUUGGGUUUACAUUUGUAGUAAAGUACCCUAUGAUCAUCUUUUAUACAUGAUGAUAAAUGAUGUAAAGAAAAGAAUGUAAUAUGUAUUUUGAGGUAAAUGUGAUGUAAGAAAGACAUGAUGAAAUGAUGUAAUGAAUGUAAGAAAUCGAUAAUGUACAAGUUGGAUGUAAUGUAUAUGAUCUAAAUUGAAUCAUAGUACAAUGAAUGCUAGUUUUCCUAUCUUUCACUCGUGGCUAUUGCUUACCCUCGUGUAAGCCGUAUUUGUAUGUUUCCGCUAGUGCACUUCAUUAUUUGAAAAUGUACAUGUGAUGAGCCUUGGGCGGACAGGGGAAACUCUGCCCGUUCGGCAUCUGUUUGACGUGCUCGGGCCGGCCCAAAUUGGUAUCGAUCCCGGGGCGUGACACUAGUAGAGGGGCAUUUAAUUAGUAUAGUAGAGACACUAAACUUGGACAUAGCCUAGUGAGUGGCAUUGACUAGUGUAGUAGAAACACUAAACUUGAACGAGUGGCAUGUCAACUAGUUAGAAGAUAAUACUACAACAACUGAACGAGUGGCAUCGAGUCUAGUGUAGUAAACAUGACAUGGUUCUUGGGACAGUAGAGGUCCCGGCAUCUAGGAUGCAUUGUAUAUUAUGCAGCAGAGGCACAUUGACCCUUGUAGACAGGGUAUCCUCUUGAGAGAAUUGGAUCAUACUCACUAGUCUGUUUUCGCUUGUCGGUGGUCGCUCCACCGAAGCACGAGUCUCCGGAUAUCUCACAGAGUUGUCCCGCAGACGGUCUCGGUGUGCGAGUGCAGCUUCUCCUCACCUAUAAGAUUGAGAGUGAGUCGAGGGCUUAACCUACGGGUUAGCCAAGUAGAUUGGGUGAUAAACAUGAAAUGCAUAGUAGAGUUGCAUUAUUACCUUGAGUAGACAUAGUGUAUGUUGUAGAUUGCAUUACUAUGUACUUUUCUAUACUCAUGACAUGAUACUAGCAUGAUAGUAGUUGUUGCAUGUAUCGUCAUCAUUGGUGGCAUGAUAGAGUAGUUGCAGUUUAUUUCUCUAUUUAUCUAUCUAUCUCUCUAUCUGUGCCAGCUUAGACCUAGUGGGAAAACUGGCGGAGUCGGCGGCCGAACCCACUGGGAACUAUAUUUAUAUAGUUCUCACCCCGUGUGGUUUUGGGGUACAGGUGCACACAGGAGCAGACCGAGCGAGGGCCGCUAUAAGGGCAUAGCGCCCUGAGCUUAGUUAGUAGCUUUUCCUUUAUGCAUUAGAGUACCCUCGUGUACUAGUAGAAGAUAUGUAUUUUGGACAGAUAUCGAAGAGCUACUUAUAUUUUGAGGAAAACAUAUGUUUACAUUUUAGAAGAUGAAAAUGUAAUGUAAUCAAAUGAUGUAAAAGUUGAAUGAUUCUAAUAGCUAGAUGUUUCUCUCUUUAUACACUUGUACCUUUCCUUGUGGUUCUUGCUCUUAGUUAUAUUGCACCUGUGUGCAUCGUAAUGGAUCAUGUAUGUUAUUUAAACAAUUCCUGGGCGCUUAAUUGUACUUGAUCAGAUUGUUUAGCCUUGGGCGGACAGGAGAGGUGCUGUCCGUUCGGCGUCCGUUCGCCGCACCCGAACCACGCCAAAUUGGUAAGGGUUUCGGGGCGGGGUCGCGACAAGGGCACGGCCACUAGCCGGCGGCGGGAGGCGGCGGCGGUGGUGGCGGUGCAACCCGAGUCCGCACUAGCUCAGAUCCGGCUCCUCUUCAAUCUCCAGCCACGACGAUGGUCGGAUAGGCCAGGGGAGGGGUGCGGGCCCCCUCUGGGACUGAGGGGAAAGGAUGUGGAUGGUGGCCGGCGGCUAGGGGUGCGGCGCUACUGAGCUCAGCCGCACCAGCCUGGGCUGGCCGCGGGUUGGCAGCAACGGCGCGGCGACGCUCGGGGCGGCUGCGGGCCGGCGGGGGAGGUCAUUGGGGCUCUGGGGUAGGAGGCAGGAGCGGCCUCAGGCGGCGGCGGGUCGAGAGAAGGGAGCUGAAGCUCCCUCGACCCGAGCUGCCACAACUCAGCCGCAGGGUGGCUGCAGCGCGGCGGUGGUGUCCGAGGGCGGCAGCGACCGACCAAGGGAGAUCGCCGGAGCUCAAGGGUGGUGCCAGAGAGGAGCUAGAUGGAGGGGUGUGCCCAACACCACCUUCGGCCAAAGAGAAUAGGAAGGGAAGUGGUGGAGAAGAAGAAAAUGAAGAAGAAAGUGGCUGAGGCUGUGGCUGCCGGCCGGGGCUCGGUCAACGAGGUGAGGAGGAAGAGGUGGCUGGGAGUCAGCUAGGGGCUAGGGUUAGGGUUUGCAUGGUGCAAAUCCCUAGAAGAUUAUAUAUACAAAACUNCCGGGAGGCGCGCGGCGCACGAGGUGAGGAGGAAGAGGUGGCUGGGAGUCAGCUAGGGGCUAGGGUUAGGGUUUGCAUGGUGCAAAUCCCUAGAAGAUUAUAUAUACAAAACUCCAAAUUGCGUAAAAGUCCUUCAAAACUCGAUAUUUAACACUGAGUCCCUCACAGCGCUAGUAAAACGCGCGAAUACACGCCCACAUUCAAAUUCACGCGAAACGGUACAUAAAAUGUAGGGCUUUUCGCAAAAUUACCGUUUUACCAUCUAAGACCCAUCCUCGAUCAACGUGCGAUAUCAGGAGAUCCGUCUAUCAGAUUUGCGAACAGAUCACACCAGUGCGAUUAGCACGAUAGACACAUCAAACCCACGAUUUUAUUUCGCUUGGUUUGGUUGCGGAUUCACGACAAAACUCAUCCUCUCUCCAAAUGGCAAAACUACACACAAAUACAUAAAAUAUAUGUGUUUCCAGUUUUCUCGAAAUCCGUGCGUCAAACCUAAAAUCCAUCAGCGGCAAUAGUUCCAGGAUAGUCGAACUAUUGAAAAUAAGCUAUUGGAUCACUAUGAAUAGAGUCCGAUACGCGCCAAAAGCCAUCUCUACACCGUGGCCUCUCCGAAAAACCUAGUUACUAUUCACUUUAAGUGAAAAGUAAAGUUCGCGUAAAAUCACCAUUCUAACUCGUUUUCCUCCGAAACUUGACAAGUGCUUUUAUAAUUAAAAUACAUACAAAAACAUCGUCAACAAAGAGUUUAGCUACACUGCCAAAAUCUCAGUUCUUACAUUCUUUUUCACCAUGGAAUCAGAAUCGAAAUGGGUAAAUUCGUUUGUGGGUGUUUGGUAUGCGGAAGUCUCAUUAUGAUUCCGAUUCCCGAGUGGAAUGGGAAUCCCCCAAUCACCUCUUUUCCCAAUCCGACCUAGGAGACCGGAUUGGAAGUUGAAUCCAGACGGAAUGGGUAUUUUUCAAAUUAAAUUUAUUUUUUCAACUUUUUAAAUUAAAAUAUAAGUUUAAAUUUAGUUAUUAAAUUUAUAAUUUUAAAUUUUAAUUUGAAUUUGAAUUAAAAAUUAAAAGUUAAUCAAGUAUUUUAAAUCUAACUUAUAAAUUCGAAUUUAAAUUAAAUUUUAAUUUAUAUAAAGUUUUAUUCAAAUUUUAUUUAAAACUUAAAUUAAAUUUAUGGAUUUAAAUUAAAAUUUAAAUUGUAAUUUUAAGUUUGAAUUUGAAUAAAUCGAAAUUUAGUUUUAUAUUUUGAAUUAUCCACUCAACUUCAAAGUUUUUUUUUUAAAAAAAAUAGAUUUAAAAUUUUGACAUUAUUUCAAAAGUUUGAUGUAAAUUUUUAAUAUUUAAUUUUCAAUUUGAAUUUAAAUUAAUUUAUUAUAAAGAUAAAGUUAGUAUAUUAAUUUGAUUACGUUUUUUAUAUCUACCUAAACCAAACACUGACAAUGGGAAUGAUUUAUUCUGAUUCUGAUUCAGAUAACGAACCAAACAGAAUUAGGUAAUGAGUCAUUCCGGAUUCCAGUUUAUUUCAAUUCCAAUUCUGAUUUCGAUUCCGAUCUCAAACCAAACGCGCCCAUAUAUAUAUAUAUAUAUAUAGAGAGAGAGAGAGAGAGAGAGAGAGAGAGAGAGAGAGAGAGAGAGAGACUAAGGCUACUAUACUCUUAUGAGUAUUAAUCCAUUUGCACUCAUAAAUUUUUCGCCGUUGGAUGAAGGGAUGUACGAUUAGGAUGAUAGUGAUCUCCGAUUAUGAUGAUAGUGGUUCCCUACGGUUGAGUGGGUAUUUGGUUGAAUAUUAUAAUCUAACGGAUAGAAAUGGUCAAAGGGGUAGAUCUAACGGCCAAAAACUUAUGAGUAUAAAAAGAUCUGUACUCAUAAGAGUAUAGUAGCCGAACUCUAUAUCUAUAUAUAUAUAUAUAUAUAUAUAUAUAUAGAGUUGAGCUAGAAUGCUAUCGAUAGCAAACGGACUCCGUUGCCACCCAUUUGUUUUCGAUGAUGGAGCCACCAAAUGGACGAUCGGCACCGUUGAACAUGAUCUAUACCACUUGAAGUGUUUAGAAAUCAAAUUUCAUACAUUUUUUAUAUUGUUUUCUUAUCCAUCGAGUGGACACAAAAAUGAACGGCUGAAAAUGAAUAUUCUUUAAAAAAUAAUGAUAGGAGUCUUGUAAUCAAGAUCAAGAGUAUAGAUCUUGUUUUAAAUAGUUUAAAGAAUUUUCUAACAAAAAUUCAAUUGAUUUGGAUAUCUUUACGCCGUUAAACGAGAAAACGUCUCAUAUCGACCAUUAAAAUUACAAAUUUUGAAACCCUUUGAUCAUUAGGCAAAUGAUGUCGAAAAGAUUUGAAAUUUGAUUUCUAAACACUUCAAGUGGUAUAGAUCAUGUUCAACGGUACCGAUUGUCGAUUUGGAGGCUCCAUCAUCGAAAACAAAUAGGUGGCAAAAUAGCCCGUUUGCUAUCGAUAGUAUUCUAGCUCAACUCUAUAUAUAUAUAUAUAUAUAUAUAUAUAGCAGGGCUGCUGCGCUCUUAGGAGCACGGAGGCCUCCGUGCUCCUGAGCCGUUUUCGAUGAUGGAAUUUUCGAAUCGACGAUCGGCUCCGUUAGACUUGAUCUAGGGUAUUUGAAGUUUCUAGAAAAUAAUUUUUGUGAUUUUUUGAUAUCAUUUACCUAGUAAUCGAAAGGAUUCAAAAUCAAUAAUUUUUAAUGGUUGAUAUGUGCCAUUUUGAAGUUUAACGGUGUAUUCAAAUCAGAUGAAAUUUUGAUACAAAAUUCUUUAUACUAUUUACAACAAGAUCAAUAUUUAUGAUCGAAAAUUUUAGUGCUGUAUCACCACUUUUUAUAGGAUUUUUAUUUCGAGCCGUUAAAAAUUAUUGAUUUUGAAUCCUUUCGUUUGCUAGAUAAAUGAUAUCGAAAAAUCACAAAAAUUAUUUUUUAGAAACUUCAAAUACGCUAGAUCAAGUCUAACGGAGCCGAUCGUCGAUUUGGGAGUCCUAUUAUCGAAAACGGCUCAGGAGCACGGAGGGCUCCGUGCUCCUGAGAGCACAGCAGCCCUGCUAUAUAUAUAUAUAUAUAUAUAUAUAUAUAUAUAUAUAGAAUACUAUCGAUAGCAAACGGGCUAUUUUGCCACCUAUUUGUUUUCGAUGAUGGAGCCUCCAAAUCGACAAUCGGUACCGUUGAACAUGAUCUAUACCACUUGAAGUGUUUAGAAAUCAAAUUUCAAAUCUUUUCGACAUCAUUUGCCUAAUGAUCAAAGGGUUUCAAAAUUUGUAAUUUUAAUGGUCGAUAUGAGACGUUUUCUCGUUUAACGGCGUAAAGAUAUCCAAAUCAAUUNAAAGUUUCCGAUUUUUCGAUUUACCCCUCUUAGAAGGCUAAUAUUGAAAAUACCCCUCCUACGUUCCAACCUAUUUCUAAUAUACCCUUAGAGUUAUAAUCUGUUAAAUAACACUGUUAUCUCUGUAAAAUUACUCUUUUACCCUUUUCAAAUAUACCCUUCCACCAUCAUUGUCUUUCUUAUUUGCCCUUAAAGUCAGGGGCACAAAAAGUAUUUCAACUUUUUAUCUUUUUCAAUAUACCCCUCUACCGUAACCAACCUUUCUUAUUUGCCCUUAAGAUAAGGGCAAAAUUGGCAUUUUAAUUUUUUUUAACUGUGAUAAAUAUUUAACUCACGUUUAACUCAGGUUAACUUAACAGGAGAUAACUACGGGGGUAUUUUGUAAUAACGGUGGAACAUAUGAGGGGCAUUUUAGAAAGAAAAAAAAAGUAGGGGUAGAUCGGAUAUUUUCAGACGCAUGAGGGGUAUAUAGGCAAUUAUCCCUAGAUUAUACUAUUCAACCAACCACCCACUCAACCCUAGGGGGCCCACAUCAUCCUAACAGCACAUCUCUUAAUCCAAUGGUCAAAAUUCUACAAGCACCAAUAACUUGAUAAUUUUAAAAGUAUAGGAGCUCAAUUAUCUAUAUAUAUAUAUAUAUAUAUAUAUAUUGUCACGCCCCGGGGUCCCUUUGAAGUUUUAAAAUCGAUGUGGAAGUGCCUUUUUUUCUUUUUUUUUGUUGAAAGCCUUGACCCCAGGGGAUGUCAGAUCCGCCACAAAUACAAGAAACCGACUGUUCACACGGACAGAGUCUCCCCUAUAUUUGCAUGGCGUCACAUAUGUACAAGAUACAACCACAGUACAUAAAUAAUCAUAUACAUUCACCACAUCACAUAAAUCGAUUCACAUUCGGUCAUUCGCAAGAAUACAAUAUUUAUUUAUAAAUCCACAUCUAUCAGUUUAAAACGUUUCCCACCCGGAAACUCAUUUUGAAAUACUAAAAAUCAUGAAAACCAAAAAAAUCUUUCUAAAACCGUUUUCCACGCCAAAACCUUUUCCUAUAAAAACAAGCUACCGCGAGGGGUAGAAACCAUUUUCAUAAUCUUACAUGAAAACCACAAGUACUUUAUUUAAUUUCACAAAACCUUAUAUAUAUCCAACUAAAAUAAAAGCAACUGAACCAUAGAAUAUCUAAGUAGUUAUUAUGAGGAAACAUAUUAGAAAUUAAAUCGUAAGUCACCGUCCGGCUCCCUUGUCUUAACUUGCGAAAAUCCUUCUUGAUUUUCCGCUUGUCACUCUCGGGAAAGUACUCCAUCAAUAGCAUCUCCCCAAACGCCUCCCAAGUAACGGAAAAGAGAUCCAAUGAGCGACUUUUCUUCACUUGUAUCCACCAUAGCCGCGCCAACCCCUAAAAGCAAUGGGCCGCCAAGUGGACCUUAUCCUUCUCGAGGGUGUAGAUGUCCUCGAACAACGCUUCCAUCGUGGCUAGCCAACUCUCCAUUACCCACGGAUACUUCACAUCGCCGUUGAAGGUCGGAGGGUUGAAUCUCUUGAAGGUUGUCAACACCGCCAAAGACCGCUCCUGCUCGGCCUCAAGUACAUCAGGAAUAAGAGUCGAUGAACCCAAUGCCGUCGAAGGAAUAACCGUCAUCGGUGCUGCCGCUGUCGCUGGAGGUGGUGCCGCAGGUGCAGGCGGAUCCUGAGGUACAGGUGCAGCCGCCGCCGCUUGACGCGCUACCAACUCGUGGAGCCGUCCAAUCUGCUCCCUCUGUUGCCACAUAGCCCCGACCAAAGCCGCUACUUAGGCCCGCAGCUCGCGUACUUCAUCCGACCCCGUCUGCUCGGGCACCUCAGGAGGCGGUGCCGGUGCAAAUCGCAUACUAGGGCGUCCUCUUGGUGCCAUCAUAUCCUAAAAUGUAGCACACAUAUUAGUACUCGACACACUUGACACUUACACGUUCCAAUUAACUACCCAAUUAAGCGAAAGCAAUCAACCGUAAUUGUUUCCAACUCUCGGCAUUAUGUGGUCGGCCGCCCCACACAAUCCUUUAAGUAGAAAACAAAUAAACACUUGAAUCCAUCUCUAAUUCCUUUUAGAGAAGUACCAAUGUCAACCCAAUCAAUUAGCUUUUGCAAUUACCAAGUCCACGUUAAACAUUUCCAAGGUCCUUAAGGUCUUCAAUCCUAAGGUCCCUAAGUCCAUUCUAAACUUUUGCUUUCACCACGCUCUGAUACCAUUAUAUCUGUCACGCCCCGUUCCCUGCCUAUUUGGUCGGAUUCGGGCCACGUCAACAGAUGCCGAACAGAUAGGACCUCCCCCGCCCGCCCAAGGCUCUAGUAACAAGUAUAAUUAAGAAAUCAAUCAAUGAGAAUUACAAUUAUACAAGACUUGCACGAGGGCAAGUAACAACAUGAAUGAAAGCUCUAAACUACAUCAUGCAACCACAUACAUAAUAUUUGAUUACAUUUUAACCAAAUACAAGUAAACUAAAACUAUUACAUUCGUUUCACUUUCAUUCAUAAUUUCUUUUACAUCGUAAUCAUUCAACCCCAAAAUACAUGAAUGUUUACAACUUUUACAUCUCUAGAGCAACAAAAUAAAAGUUAAUACAUUAACCAAAAAGGGAAUGACUAAAAUGCAAAUACUCCGGUGGCCACUAGCUAUGGCGCAAUACCCUUGCCUCGAUCCUCCGCCGCCCCGCUCGCGCUCGGAUCUGUAGGGUUAGUGGUGUGAGAACUACAACGAAGUUCCCAGUGAGUUCGGCAACCGACCUUGCUGACUUACCUACUAGGUCUAUUUAGGCAUAAGUAUUUCAAAGAAAGGAAACAGUAAUCAAUGCUAAUGCUAAUACUAUGCCUGCAAGAAAGCCGUCAGUAGAUAUAUAAUCAAAUGAGAAUGAUUAUGCAUGCAUGCUCUUUCCACAACUUUACCUUGGCUUUGACCCAAUCUUACCGGUUAACUUUGUUAACCCCAAUAACUCACAACCCAAGUUCCCUUAAUAACGGGGGACUCGAACCUCCCUAGGGACUGUCCUCUGGGGGGACUUUACCUCGCCCAGUGGUGACCAACUCCGGAGCGCACCGCUCGAGGGGGAGCUACCUCCCUCAAGCCAAGACUUAUCGUGAGUAUCGAUCAAAUCCUCAACUUGAGAACAUAUAGCCACUAGCCACAAUACCACUUUAUCAAUGAUAGGUCUCUAUCUUAUCAUAUUUGCCACUCUCUCGGCUACUCUUGCCAUAAUGUCACUGCUGUUUAAACUAGGUUUAGCAAUUUGUAUCUCAAUGCCAAUCUUGUCUCUAUUGUCAAUGUCACCUUUGUUUACUAUUAUCAUAGUCCCGGUCUCAUAUUCACACAAGUAUAGGGUUCCAACAUACAUGUCCUCUAUGGUUCAUAUCAAUCUCUAUGUUCAUCUAUGUUAGAAGCAUAUAAUUGAAGUCCAACCAAUAUUCACAUGUAAUCUACCCUAUCAUGUAUGAGUGACUAUUGACACAAUGCUCAAUGAAAAGGUGAUAUAGACAUAAAAGAAAAUCCAACGAUUCUGGAGUGCACCCCCCACCUCGAAUAGUAGUAGAGGAGUUGUGGUUCGAUUCUCGGGAUUUUUAGAAGCCUAUCCCGCGUGCUACGACGAUCUGUACCAAAUUUGAGCCAAAUUAGGCUUUUUACUAAGCACCAUUAUAUAGUCUUUUCGUUUGGCCGAACCGAGCGCACUAACGCGUCGGAAAUACCCCUAAUUAGGUUUCCACAAGGUCAAUUUACCUCGGAAACAAUCGAAGGCAAAAGCCUCAAAUUUGGUGCCUAACAAUGCCAUAUAUGGAAUUUUCCUAGAUUGAUCUUGGAACUAAGCAAAUACUAGCUUAGAAUAAUCUAGGAAGCUCUCUAAUACCAUUCCUAAGCCAUUUGAACCAUUCCCAGGGCAUCUACUAUGAACCCUAGAUGACCACCAUGAGAGCACAUGAAGCUUCCAUGGAUUUUUAUGGAGCUCAUGCCUCAAAAGGGUUUCUAAGCUUACAAGAAGUCCAAAACACUAACACUUAGGGUAAAAAUCCAAACCCUAGAAGUGUUCUUGCAAAAGAACUCACCUUAGCCCUAGCUCUUCUAAGUCCACCUUGAUGGAGAGCUUCUAAAGCCUUCAAAUCCACAAAAAUCCUCCUCCAAAACCUUCCAAGCCUUCUCCUCCUUGCUCUAGGGCAAGAUCUCUAGAGAGAGAAAGGGAGAAAUGAGAGGGAGAGAGGGUUCACAGCUGCUGUGAAGAGAGGAGAGUGUUGGGGUGUUUUAUAGGUUGCAACAAUAGCAACUAAGCCCCCCAAAAACUCUUAUUUGCAACAAACCUUAUUGUUGCUGUCAGACCAAAGUGUACCGGUACACUUCAUCCUGUCACCGGUAACACGAUCGUGCAGAGGCAAACCCGAGAGCAGCCUCUCUCGGGCACGCGACAUUUGUACCGGUACAAACCAACUUGUACCGGUACACUUUCAAUUUUCCCCAAACCCGAGAGCAAUUUCCUCUCGGGCAACACUGUUGUACCGGUACAACAUCAAUGUUGUACCGGUACACAUUGCCCAGAAUGCAAUUUUAGCUCUUGUUCGACUUCUCUUCUCGCCGAGCAAUGCUAAAACCCUUCUAACUCCUUUAAAACUCGCUUUUAAAUCUUCCAACGUUGUUGGAAUACCAAUUGGAACUUGUCCAACUUUUUCUCUUGGAUGCUUUAGUCAAUUUGGCUAAAGUCCAAUAUUCUCUACCGGGGUUUCGAUAUAUUACAGCUAGGGUUUUCUUCUAUGAAAACCCUAGUUAGCUCAUAUAUACAAAAAUGUAAUUUUGCAUAAAAGCCCUCCAAAGUUUGAUAUUUUCAGCGGAGUCCCUUGCAGCGCGUGUAUUUUGCGCAUACGCACCUUGACGUUCGAAAUCAUGCAAAAUGAUACAUAAAAUAUAGGGAGUUUUGCGAAUUUUUCGUUUUGCCAUUUUCGACCCCUUCUCGAUCUUCGCGCGAUAUCAGAAGAUCCGUCCGUCAGAUUUGCGAAUGGACUACGCCAGCGCGUUCAGCACGAUCAGGGCAUCAAAAUUAGUCUACUAUACUAUCUAUAGUACCGAAGCUCUGGUACUAUAAUCUCGUUUUCGAUCUUCCGAUCAUAAGAUAUUCAAAUCAAUGAUCCACACCCCUAAAUAUGAUCUAGGGUAUAUGAGUGCUUAGAAAUUAGUUUUUUUUUUUUUUACGUCGUUACUUAAUAACUAAAUCAUAUCAAAAUAAACGAUUGAAAUUGAUCAAUCUUUAAAAUUUGAGAAUAGAGCUUUUAAAUUCAAGAACAAGGAUAUUGAAUUUGAUCUAGAUAGUUUAAAAUAUUUUCUAUCAAAAUUUGAGUAAAUUUAUUUUCUUCUACAUCGUUAAACUACAAACUCGCCAUACUAGCCAUUGAAAAUUGACAAUUUUAAAAUAAUUUGAUCAUUAAGUGAACUAUGUUGAAAAAAUAUAAAAUUUUAUUUCAAAAAACUUCAAAUACCCUAGAUCAAUCUUAACGGUAUUGAUCGUUGAUUUGAAUAUUCUAAGGUUAAAAAUGAAACUAUAGUACCAGAGUCUCAGUAGUAUAGAUAGGGGGCCUAGCUCUAUCUCUAUAUAUAGAGAGUAUGACUACUAUUCUUUUAUGAGUAUUGAGCCAUUCGUGCUCAUAAGUUAUUUUUGCUGAUGGAGUUUAUAAAUUGAUGAUCCAUACUAUUAUAUAUGAUUUAGAGAGUUUGAAACUUCUAAAAAAUAAAUUUCAUAAUUUUAGAAAUUAUAAUAAAGUUCAUUAAGUAGGCAUAAAAUGAACGGUCAAAAUUGAAUGACUUCCUAAAAAUAAAGGAUUGGAUAUUUCAAUCUAAGAUCGGUGUUAUUGAACUUUAUCUAAAUAGCGAAUAUCCCAUACAGGUGUUUGUCAAUUUUGAGAUCUUUUGAUCGUAAACUAAAUGAUAUCGAAAAAUUAUAAAAUUUAAUUUCUAAAAGUUUCAAAUGAGUUAAACAAUGUUUAAUGGUAUGGAUUACAAUUCGGAAGCUCUAUCAUCGAAAACAACUUAUGAGUACAAAGGCGAUCGUACUCAUAAGAGUAUAGUAGCCGGAUUCUAUAUAUAUAUAUAAAGAGAGAAAAAGAGUGAGGAGUUAAAAUACUAUUGAUAGUAUGAGAAAUAGUGUUUACUAUCAACAAUUUGACCAUUGGAUGCCUAGCUUUUAGUGGGAGUUGGUGGAAUUAUGAGUGCCUCUUAUUAAAUAUUCUCUGCAUGGUGUAUAUGUAUACAUACAUUAUAUGCUUAAAAUCCCUUAAUAGAGAUUUUAAAAUUAAAUCAUUAACAUAAUUUAAAUUACUAGAUUGAGUAGAUUAGAUAUAUUUAACUUUUAAAAUUAAAAUAUUAAUCAUCCAAUAUAAGUUACGAUGUAUAAAAAAAUUAAUAGUUUUUUCUUUCUCCAAUUAAUUUUUUCCACAUAAAAACACCUUCUCCUAUUCCUUAAUUUGAAAUAAAUAUUCUAAUUUUAACAUUUUUAGUUAAAAAUUUAUUUAUAGAAUAGCUAUAAAAACUAUUAUGUUUAAUUGAAUUUUUUUAAUAAAAUUUUUAGAAUAAUUUAACUCUAUAAAUAUUAAAAAUUUAAAAAUAUUAAUAUAAAAUUAUAUUUAUAAUAUAUAAGACUAUUUUAUAGAAUUUUUUAAAUUUAUUUACCUAUAAAUUUUUCGAUCUUAAAAUUUUAAUAAAUAUAUAUAAUUUAAUUGGCUAAAAUACUAACUAACAUCCGUGAAGGAAAAAAAUUCUAGAAUGCACCAGUUAUAUUGAUGAUAUGGCGUCCCCUACUAAUCAAAUAGCUCUUUUUGGGGUUACUCAUCACAUCAUCAUUAUAAAAAAUAUUGUUUGUCACGCCCCAAGCCCGCCUCUUUGGCCGAAUUCGGGCACGCCAACAGACCGUCGAACGGACAGGAUUUUCCUUAUACCGCGGACAAAGUCUCCCCUAUACGUCCAAAGCGUCGCAACCCAAAUAAUACACAAGGUUCCAACCAAGAACAGCAUUCAACAAAGAUUGCAUAAGGAAGGAAUGAAAACAUAAGUACUAUUAUGCUAUUACAAGCAUUCAACUCAAUUCACAUUUUACAUCACAUAUUACAUUUUCCAUUCUCUUUAUAGCUUCCAAAUACAAUCUAGCUUAAACAAGAUAUUACAAAUUAGAUCCAACUUGGUUCUUUUCCUUUCACAACCCUAAGUUAAGCCGACUCAGGGUACCGCUAUCUCUGGUCUCGGUGGUAGGGCGCUAUCUACGGAGCUACGUCCUUUCCUCGCGCCGCCGCGCCAGUCACGUGUGUACAUGUACCCCCAAAAAUAAUGCGAGGGUGAGAACUAUUGUCCAUAGUUUCCAGUAGGUACGGCCACCCAAAGAAAAAGCUCGAUCCACAAGAUCCAAAGGAGGCACUACAAACAUGUUAGUCCAACAAAUAUUCACAGAUAGAUAAUUUAUGCAACUAACACUAUCAUGUUUAGGCAUUACAAUAUGCAACAUGCAAAUCAUGCAACUAUCCAAGUAGAUUAAUGAAUUCUACUCUUUAUUCUUUAUCAUUCUUUACUCUUAGUCAUUCUUUAUCGCUAAUCAUUCUUUUCAUUAUUAGCUAUCCAUUAGCAUUUGCUAUUCUUUAACAUUAGCCGUUCUUUAUUCUUUAUUCUUUAUUCUUAGUCACAACAUACUCAUUGGCCAUUCUUCCCUAAGGUUACUUUACCUUAGCCAACUAUACCACUUGACUCGGUCUUGAGUCAAUCAACUGCGGAUAAUCCGCGCUCUGUCAGACUCGAGGCGAAGGACGUCUCACAUGCACCUCAGCCUUAAAUCCUCUCGACUAUAGGUCUACUCAAAGGGUGAGGAUAUCCAUCGAACCCCGGACUACAAGUCGCUCAAUGGACCUACGGGCGAGGAGAACCACAUGUACCCGCGUCCCCAAUCUCAUACUCAAAUCGGGCGUGGAGAACCACACGUACCCGAUGAGUCACUGCCAGGCGAGGAGAACCACACGUACCUGCAGUUGCCAUACACUUACGCUCGGUCGCAAAGCUCAUCCGCUGCACUAGCAGCACUCAUUCCUAGGGAUUCCAGAAUCCACUUUCACGACUCUAGGGUUGGUCUCACCCUAUAGUAUCGACCUAUCUAGGUCCAAUGUCCCUUCCAUCCUAGGUCCUAUUGACUCUAGGUUUAAUGCCUCUAUCACACAUCCUAGGUUUACUUGACUCUAGGUUCAAUUCUCAAUCUAUAUUCUUUAACACUAGGUUUAAUACCACUCGUGAUUCCAACCUAUGUUUACUAACACUAGGUUCAAUGUCAUUCAUGUCAAACCUAUGUUUAUUAACACUAGGUUCAAUGCCACUCGAUUUAGUUGACAUCCUAAUUGUCCACAUCGAGUUUACAAAGCUAACAUGCAUCUUAUCUAACAUAAUCAACAAUAUGUUCAUAUGCAUGCUUCCUAACAUGAUCUCACAAUGCUAAUGUACCUAGCAUUUAUUCCACUAUGCCUAUAUAUACCAACAUGAAUCUAUCCACUAGCAUAUAUUCUCAAUGCAUCAUUAUGCAAUCAUCAACUAGCAUGGUUAUCAUAAUAUUAACCUGCACAUGCAAUCCACUUAGCAUUUCUAGUCCAUGUCUUUAUCUAAUGGCAGUUUAUAUAUUUUUAGUAUCUACGCAUCCGCAAUGCUACAACUACCAUAAUAUGCAUCAAUAUGAAUUCAAGCUCCACUUUGAUAUAGAGGCGACCUAGUCGUUUCGGUAAACACAACCCACCUCUUAAUGCGUUCGGAUUGCUUGUAGUCACUUGCAAUCGGCCUCCCGCGGCACUCGUUGUCCGGUUCGGCCCGAACUCGCACUCGACCACCAAAUGGCCUCCAAUCCACGAUCCGGAAAUUAAAGGUCUAUAACUUGACGCCACGAUGCUCCGGUUCCGUCUCGUGAUUUUUGGACGUCGCCUCGGCCCUCCAGGCGGAAACGAAGCCAAAACGUCCGUUUCUUCAAUAGCUUUGCAUAGGCUCGAUGAAUCACCGAACCGACUUCGCCAACGCGUCGGAAAUACCUUCAAUUAGGUUUGUAUAGGAUUAAUUUACAUCUAAACCCAUCUAUGACAAAAGCCCUAAUUUUGGUGCCCUAAUAAUGUCAUAAUCUAAUUUUUCCUAGAUUGAUCUUGUAACUAAGCAAAUACUAGUUUAGAAUCAUUUAGGAAACUCUCUAAUCUCAUUUCCAAUCCAUUUGAACCAUUCCUAGGGCAUCUAAAGCUAACCCUAGAAGUUCACCAUGGGAGAGCUUUGAGAAACCAUGGGUUUCAUGAUGCUCAUGCCACAAGAGAGCUUCUAACCUUGCAAGAAAGUCCAAAACACCAAAUCUUAGGGUAAAAAUCUAAACCGUAGAUGUAUUCUUGCAUGAGAACUCAUCUUAGCCCAAGCUCCUCCAAGUCCACCUUGUAAGAGAGCCUCCAAACCCUUCAAAAGCUCCAAUCUCCACUUGAUCUCCUCCAAAUCCAUCCCUUCUUCACCUUGUGGAGAGUUUCUAGAGAGAGUGAGGGAGAAGAAAUAAGGGAGAAGGGGAGGGUGUUUGGGGUUAUAUAUAGUAUGCUACAAUUGCAACUAGGUCCCCCAAAUAAUUGUAUUUAUAGCAGACUAAAUCUGUGCUGUCAGCCCAAAGUAUACCAGUACAGGCUAUGGUGUCACCGGUAACACGAUCUCAUAGAACCAAACCCGAGAGCAACUACUCGGGAUCUACCAAAGUGUACCGGUACACACCAGGGGUGUUACCGGUAACACACUCGCGCAGAGGCAAACCCGAGAGCAAUCUGCUCUCAGUCUGCGAUGGCUGUACCGGUACAGCAUCAAUGCUGUACCGGUACACUUUGCCCAGAUUAUUGUUUUAGCUCCUUUUCGACUCUACUUCGCGUCGAUCGAUACUAAAACCUUUCUAACCCCUUUUAAACUUAUUUUUAACCCUUCCAACAUUGUUGGAACGUUAAAUAGGACUUGUCCAACUAUUUAUUUUGCAUGCUUUAGUCAUUUUGGCUAAAGUCCAAUGUAGCUUACCGAAGUUUCGGUAUGUUACAUUGUUAAUGUACUAUUUUUUUUAGGAGAAAUGUGUUUGGCUUGUUAAUUUGGUGCUAAGAGUGCGUUUGGUUCGGAUUAUCCUGACAAGAUUACAGGCAAUCUUACCAGAAUUACUGUGUUUGUUUCAUCAGGUAUGUAAUAUAUUCGGUAUUGCAGCAUUAGGUGUAAAAUUACACUGAAAAUAUUAUCAGGGGGUGUGUAUUUUGGAUUACUGAAGGCAACUAAUAUUAUAUGUUAUUUAAAAUUACAAGUUUAUCCCUCCAACUCCCGAAACCUUUUCAAUACAUCAUUUUAAAAAUUUAAAUUUAAAAUUUUGAAUUUUAAAUUUAGAAUUUUAAUUUCUAAUUUUCAAAUUUAAAAUUUAAAAUUUAAAAUUUAAUUUGUAUUUUAAAUUCUAGAUUUUAAAUUUUAAAUUUUAAAUUUUAAUUUUAAAUUUAAAUUUAUAUUUAAAUUUUAAAUUUUAAAUUUAUAAAUUUUAUAUUUAUAUUUUAAAUUAAAAUAUUAAAUUUAUAUUUUUGUUCAAAUUUAAAAUUUAAAAUUUAAAAUUUUAAAAAUUUUAAAUUAUUUAAAUAAAAUUUAGUUAAAAAAAUAUUAUUUGUAAAUAGUAAAAAAACUUUGCCAAAUAUGGCUAAGGGCAAUUUUGGAAUAGAUUAUAUUUUAUUAUCAUGAUUACUGAAUUUUAUAGACUAAGCCAAACAUAGUAAUGAUAUAAACACUGCAAUUCAGCAUUAAAUUACUGUAUUAAACCAAACGUGCUAAUACAGCACGGUCGCAAUUUCAUCUAGAAAAUCAAAAUAUUUGAAUAUAUCCAAAUACUCUGAAAUAUUACAUAAUUCGAACCAAACGCGCCCUAAGUGUGAUACAGUAGGCCUCCUCUGCGAAGGGCGGGCUAGGGGUGUCAACAAGUCGAACACGAGCAAGUUGGGAUUGGCUCGUAUUCAGCUCAUUUCAUAAACGAGCCGAACAUGAGCUGACUUGUUAAAGUAUUAAGCCGAAUACGAGCUGGCUUAUGAAUAAGAAUUUAAAAGGAUUAGAAAGAAUAUAUAGAAGAAAUAAAUUUAUAAGAUCUUACUUGUUAUAUUUUGAUCUAAUGAUUGAAAUUUUACAUAUAAAUGAAUCAUUUUAUAAUCGAGUUGGGCUUUAUAUUUAGGUUGGCUAAAAAUUAAAUAAUAAAAAUGUAUAUUAUAUACAUAUAUAAUUAUUAAUUUAUAUAUGUAAAUAUAAAAUAUAUAUAUUCGAGCUGUUAUCAAGCCGAACAUGAGCUAGCUGAUCCCAGCUCGUGUUCGGCUUAUUUAUUAAAUAAGCUGAAAAUUUUAGCUCGUGCUCAGCUCAUUUAUUAAACGAGCAAUUCGAUCUUAAGCUCAUUUCGACCCGAACACGAGCUGCCUUGCAGAGCGAUGAGCUGGAUUGCCACCCAUCGGGCGGGCGUUUCGCAUUAAUAAACGAACGGAACAGGGAAGCAAAACUUAUACGUUAUCGUUUUGUCACGCCCCAAAUUACUCGUUCCCCGGGCACGCCGACAAAUCCGCCGUAUACAAAGAAAUUUUUCCUGUAUACGAAGCGAUAGCUUUACCUGUAAAACAUACAAUACUACAAACAGUAGUAUAGAGCUGCUAGAAGAACCAGUAACAAAAACAAACCGAGUUCCAUAUACAUACGCCAAAUCCAAGAUACAAAACUACUCGCACUGGUGAGUUAAAUAUAUGUAUGUACAUGAACUCCAAUAAAAAAAUAACUACCUGCUGUAGGGGCACCUCUAGCUCGACUCGUCGGGUAGGGUCUAACUCGUGACGCCCUUGCCUCGAUCCUGAUCAGCAACAGCAGCAGCCGAAGACGAUAGAUCUGCAAAAACGGGGUAACAACAGGGCGUGAGAACUACUGUAAAAACAAGUAGUCCUCAGUGAGUACUACCCUCAACAUCAUCGGUCCACCCACUAAGUCUACAGAAGGGAGCAAAGGUAGUAAUAAAUGCUGGAAUAAAAUCUACAGCUACCAUUUUUUACACUAUCAUGCUCUAAGCUGACCCACUGUAAUAAUGUCAAUCCUGACCCAAUCUCUUUAAGGACUGUAAACAUACCCGUCCCAGGGACUGUGAACACCUGUCCCGCCGAGUUGAGACUAUCGAGCUACCUCCACACUAUCCAGUCCGUGGAGAGUAAGUCUAACCAGCAUGAACGACACCAACGCGAAAGCACAAUGCCCGUCUCCGGAGUGGCACUCGUGGGAGCUACCCAACCGAGUAUGCAGCGUAUCUCUGUCGAGCUCAAUCAGGCUCUCUCAAGCCAAAGUCCAAAUAACCGACUUUACUGGUCUAACAACCAACAGGUCACGUGCCCUCGGCACAAUCCGACGCCAAAAAGGCGAUAUGGGUCCACCGUCAACACCGACGGCACCCAACAGUUCAGAAUAGUCUGAACGCUACUGUAAAAAUACACUCGGCAUCCCAGCACGAGCGUAACUGAAAGCUAAACUACCUGGGGUAUCCGUCGCCUCGAUACUACGAUGAUACAAAAUUACAACGGCUCCUAGAGCUAAAUUAGGUAGUGUAAACAGGUGACAGGUCCAAAUCGCUAGUUUUCUCCUAAGUUAAAUUCCAAAUCCAACAUGUAGUUUUAUGGUUUACUGAUCAUGUCCUCAAUGCUAAUUUCAUCCAUGAUACAAUCAACGAAAUUAAACUACAACAUGAUUUACAAAAACUGGAAAUCAUACAUGUCGACUAAUACUGUGCUUAGGAAUAAACCGAUGUAACCCAUCUCAAAGGCUAAUCCCCGGUAGCGAAGAGGGUCACCGGAGUCCCUGCCAAGCUCGGUUGCAACUCACCGAACCAGCAACAAUAACGCCCAAGGAUCUAAACAUAGAAACCCACAAUAAACACCGAUUCUGCUCAAAACAACAACAGCAGAGAGGAAUAGGGUUUCGACCAAGCUAACCUUCACCAAAAUAGGCAAUCUUGGGCUUCGUGGAUUCCUCUCGAAGUCCUGAAUCCAACGAACUAAGUCUUGCGGCAAUAUGACACUCCUACGUCGCGUACGAGUCGAAACACCGACGGUCGAUGCUGGAAAUCUGCAAAACAGCAUCCUUGAGCUCGGAAGUAAUAAAGACUUGCAACAGUUGAAGGAAUUGAUGAACAUCUCACCUUAACAGCGACUCUAGCACCGGCGCGACGUCGAGAACGGCGAAUACGCACCCUUGCACGGCCUCCUUGUGAUGCUACGGCAACAAACGCGCGCUCGAACGGCUCCGCGGCGCGACGUCGGCGACGAAAUACUCUACCCAAGCUCCUCCACGAUCGGACCAAGCUAGAGAGAGAGAGGAAAAGAAGAAGCAGGGAGAAUACUCCCUCUCAAGCUCUCUACACUUGUAAAUAGUAAGGAAGCAUGUGGGUGACACGAACGAGGUAAGAAAAGACCCAAUUGCCGUCUCACCUACCCUGGUGUACUGGUACACGGGCUCACGUACCGGUACAAGAAGCCAUCCCGAGAGCAGUCUGCGCGCAGCCUGUGCAGUGUACCAGUACACCCUGCUGGCUGUACCGGUACAGCAAGUAGAGAAACCUGCUAUUUGCAGAUUCUCUUGCUAAAUGCUGCUCUCGCGUCGCAUAGAGUCCGUUUUGCGUCUAUUUCACGCUAACGCGACUCAGACUUGCCCCGACACUCUCCAGAGCUGUCGACAAGCCUUAACAGCAGAACACCAGGGAUCUUACAUCCUCUCCCACUACAAAAAGUUUCGUCCUCAAAACUUAAACAUACCUCCACUCUGGGCAUCGAACAGAUAGGGAUAGGACUCCCUCAUCACCGUCUCAGGCUCCCAAGUCGCCUCCCGCUCAUCAUGAUUGCUCCACUGCACUUUCACAUAUGGGAUGACCCGGUUGCGCAAUUCUUUCGUUUCCCGAGCAAAAAUUCGCAACGGUCGCUCAUCGUAACUCAGAUCCUCGCCAAUCUCGAGUGGAGUAAAGUCAAUCACGUGAGAAGGAUCGAAAACAUAUCUCCUCAAUGCUGAGACGUGGAAGACAUCAUGAAUGCCAGCUAGUCGCGGGGGUAGAGCGAUCCUGUAAGCAACUGGUCCCACUCGCUCCAAUACCUCAAAAGGGCCAACGAAACGUGGACUGAGCUUUCCACGUACUCCAAAUCGGCGAAUCCCUCUGGAUGGCGAGACUUUGAGGAAUACAUGAUCUCCAACCUAGAACUCUAAGUCUCGUCUCCUGGUAUCAGCGUAGCUCCUUUGGUGGCUCUGGGCUGUCAAAAGGUGUCGUCGAACAACUCUCACCUUUUCCUCAGCCUCUAGCAAAAUCUCAGGCCCAAGCGUCUUCCUUUUACCCACAUCACUCCAGCACAAAGGGGAUCGACAUUUGCGUCCAUACAACGCCUCAAACGGAGCCAUCUAGAUGCUCGCUUCAUAGUUGUUGUUAUACGCAAACUCAGCCAGUCUCAAAUGUCGAUACCACUCUCCUCCAAAGUCCAGGACACAUGCCCUUAGCAUGUCCUCAAGAGUUUGAAUGGUCCGCUCUGACUUACCAUCUGUCUGUGGGUGAAACGCUGUGCUGAACUGCAACUAUGUACCCAAGGCUGUCUGUAAACUCCUCUAGAAGUGUGACACAAACCUCGGAUCUCUAUCAGAUACGAUCGAAAUCGGCACGCCAUGCAGCCUAACAAUCUCAUCCAGAUAUAGCUGUGCGAGUCUCUCUCUGGACCAAGUAGUCUGAACCGGUAAGAAAUGAGCAGACUUGGUCAAUCUGUCCACUAUCACCCAAAUCGCAUCGUAGCCACCCUGCGCUCUAGGCAAUCCCACAACGAAAUCCAUCAUGAUCUGCUCCCAUUUCCACUCGGGCACUGGCAGACUCUGAAGCUUGCCAGCAGGUACUUGAUGCUCGGCCUUUACCUGUUGAUGAGUCAGACACUGAGCCACAAAUCUGCCAAUGUCCCUCUUCAUUCCAUUCGACCAAAACUGGGCCUUCAAGUCCUUAUACAUCUUGGUUCCACCUGGGUGAACCGUAUAAGGAGAACAAUGAGCCUCUCUCAAGAUGUCCUCUCGGAUCCCUGAAUCCAUAGGCACACACAGUCGGUCCCUGUACCGCAGUACACCCGAACUGUCCACAAAAAAGUCCUCAGCCUGUCUCCGCUCUAGCUGCUCUCGAAUCCUCGACAAGUACGGAUCUCCACUCUGUUUCUCUCGGAUCCUAUCCAACAAAGUGGGCUGUAAGACCAAAGACAUCAGUCUCGCAGUAGAUCUAGGGGACACUAUCUCGAGCCUCAACCGCUGUAGCUUCUCGAGUAACGGCCUCUGCUGUGUGAUCAUCAAACUCAAGCUCUGCACUGCCUUCCUGCUCAACGCAUCUGCCACCACGUUCGCCUUGCCGGGAUGAUAAUGAAUACAAAUGUCAUAGUCCUUCAGUAACUCCAACCACCGGCGUUGCCUCAGAUUCAAUUCCUUUUGGGUGAACAAAUACUUGAGACUUUUAUGAUCAGUAAAAAUCUCGCAGUGCUCACCGUACAAGUAAUGCCGCCACAACUUUAAUGCAAAGACUAUCGCGGCAAGCUCCAAGUCAUGCGUAGGGUAAUUCUUCUCAUAAUCUUUUAACUGCCGUGAAGCAUAAUCAAUUACCCUACCAUGCUGCAUCAGCACACAACCCAGUCCACUGUGCGAUGCAUCACUGUAGAUCACAAAUCCUUCCCCAAUCACAGGAAGGGCAAGGAUAGGAGCCGAUGUCAACCUCUAUCUCAACUCAUCAAAGCUCCUCUGGCAAUCCUCACUCCAGAUGAAUCUAAUCCUCUUUCGCGUCAAUCGAGUGAGGGGUGUGGAAAGCUUCGCAAAGCCUUCCACAAACCGACGGUAAUAUCCUGCAAGUCCAAGAAAACUCCUCACCUCUGUCACUGUCGUCGGUCUGGGCCAACCCCAAAUCGCAUCAAUCUUCUUCGGGUCAACUGCUACUCUCUCUGCUGAUAUCACAUGGCCCAAGAAAGCAACCUCCCGUAACCAGAACUCACACUUCUUUAACUUUGCAUACAACUUCUUCUCUCUCAGAAGCUGUAGCACAGACCUCAAGUGUUCCUCGUGCUCGGCAUCACUCCGGGAGUAUAUCAAGAUAUCAUCUAUGAAGACUACCAUAAACCUAUCCAAGAACGGCUUGAACACUCUGUUCAUCAAAUCCAUGAAUGCGGCAGGGGCAUACGUCAAUCCAAAAGGCAUCACCGUAAACUCAUAAUGCCUGUACCGAGUCCGAAAAGCCGUCUUGGGAACAUCCUCGGCCCUCACCCUCAGCUGGUGGUAAUCGAAUUGGAAAUCAAUCUUCGAGAAGACACAAGAUCCUUACAGCUGAUCAAACAGCUCAUCAAUGCGCGGCAAAGGAUACUUGUUCUUGAUGGUCACCUUAUUCAGCUCCCGGUAAUCCACGCACAACCUGAGCGAACCAUCCUUUUUCUUUACAAAUAACACCGGCGCUCCCCAAGGCGAUACACUAGGUCUCACAUACCCCUUAUCCAUCAGAUUCUGAAACUGUACCUUUAGCUCUCUUAGCUCAGUCGGUGCCAUCCAAUAAGGUACCUUUGAGAUUGGUGUAGUUCCAGGAACUACAUCAAUCACAAACUCAAUCUCUCUCCAGCGGUAUCGUCGUCAACUCAGGGGGAAACACAUCCGAAAACUCUCGGACUACAAGAAUAUCCUCGAGUCCCGGCGCCGCCGCAGGUACCUCUACAACAGUCGCCAGAAAGGGAACACAUCCUCUAUUCAUCAGCUGUCGAGCCUUCGCCGAAGAUAUUCAAGUGGCAAACAGCGUGCUCCUGCAGCCUCUAAAAGUAAACUCCCCCUGGCCUGGCUCGCGGAACGUCACCGUCCUCGCUCCACAGUCGAUCGUAGCAUAGUACCGCGCCAGCCAAUCCAUACCGAGCACGACGUCGAAGUCCUGUAGCUGCCCUAACACCAACAGGUCUGUGGGCAUGAUCCACGAAUCCAACUGCACCAAACACGACCAACAACACUCUGCAACCUGUAAAACAUGGUCCGGUAUCUACACCUCUCGUGCUUGAGACAACAAUCCUAAUUCUAGACCAUGCAACAAUGCAAAUACUCGGCUAACAAAGGAAUGCGAUGCACCAGUAUCAAAAAGUGUACGAGCUCUAAUGCCAGAAAUAAGAAUGAUACCUGCCACCACUCGGUCGGCUGCUGAAAAGUCCUCCACCUGGGCUGCAUAUACCCUGCCGCUCGGAGCCUGCUGUCGCCGCCGCCCUGAGGCGGCAUAGACGAUCUGUCCUCCUGGCGAAAACUUGGAACUACUCCAAAAGACUGCGGAGGUCCAGGCUGCGCUGACGCGAUGGAUAGUGCUGGUGAUGCUGCUCGGGGACACGCUGAUCUCAUAUGCCCGGACUGACCGCAACUGUAACACCUGCCCUCUCUCUGCUCGCACUGCCGGGGCCAGUGUGGUCCGCCGCAGAUCACACACUGCGGUGUCCUCUGAAUCUGUCCCUGCUGACGGGAUCCCCUGGAACGCUGACGCCCCGAAGAUCCACGACCCUGAGAGCGUGAUCGUGGAGGCCUCGGCGGACGCCUGCUGCUCGACUGUCCAGCAUCAUCUGAAAGGGGCGCUUCCUGUCCUGACUCUGCCCCACGGCCUGAGUCCUCUCCUGCAGCGACACCUCACCUCUCUCCACCCAUAAGGCCUGCUCUAUGGACGCAUCCAGGGUCCUCGACCUCUGCGCCUGUGCCAACCUGAAGAUGUCGGGUCUCAGCCCCUGCUCAAACAGAUAAACCCUAUAUGCCUCGUCCCUGGCCACAAAUGGUACACAGUUCAGGAGUCGAGUAAACUCUCGAAUGUACUCCUGUACUGGACGAUCCCCCUGCUGAAUCCUCUUCAAAUCCUCCUCGAGCUUCUAUUUCACACUGUUGGGGAAAAACAUCCUAAACAGCAUUCCAUAGAACUCAUCCUAUCUCAGCUGCAACGCUACCAAUCCCUGCUCUCUCCUCACUCUCCUCCACCAAGCGUGGGUAUCACCUGCCAAGCAAUGGACUCCCAAAAAUACCUGCUCCCACUCAGGAAUGAACAGAUCCUCAAAUAGCUUCUCCAUCGCACUGACCCAGCCCUCAACAACCUAGGCCUCAGUGCAACUGCCAUCGAAGGUCGGCGGAUCAAAACGGCGGAAACGAGCCAACCUCUCUGUCAACCGCUCCUGCUCGGCCUCUGUCAACUGUACUGGUCCCCUAGCAGGCGCAACUGGUGCUACUGGAACUGCUGCUGGCGGAGGGACUGCUGCUGGCGGAGGGACUGCUGUAGCUGGUGCUGUCACUGGGGUAGUCGGAGGUGGAACAGACGACUCUGGUGCCCUCGGUGCUGAACUUUGGGGCGAAGCUAGCCUCUCGCACAUCCUCUCCAAUAACUCCCUCUACCGCCUCGUCACCUCUGUCCGGGCGGCUAACUGUGCACUCAAGUCCGGGGAUGCACUCGCCUCCGAUCGAACACUCUGCUCCUGCCGGGCACUCGGCUCCGCAUGCUCAGGCAUCUCGAAAGGUCCCGCACGAUCCUGCGACAACUGGGCACGCUCCAGUAAUAACGGUCGACCUCGACGACGAUACAUAGCUAAAAGGAACAGAUCGAGGUCAGAUGAAACACAAACACUCUCAACCCAAUCAACGAAAGUCUGGAAGGCGGGCCCCUGUUUUCCUCCAAAAUUAUGUUGUCUGCAGCCAACAUAAUUUCUCAGGCCAAAACAGGCACUCCUUCAAUCACUCACCCUACUCUAGGAGGAGUUAGAACAAUUAAUCAUUAACUUUCGCAAUAAAUUACGCCUCUCGCGUCUUGCCUUUUUAAGGUUUGCCAAACUUAGAUUUUUCUAGGUCCCAACGACCUACUGCUAAGCUCUAAUACCAACUUAAUCUGUCACGACCCGGAUUACUCGUUCCCCGGGCACGCCGACAAAUCCGCCGUAUACAAAAAAAAUUUUCCUGUAUACGAAGCGAUAGCUGUACCUUUAAAACAUACAAUACUACAAACAGUAGUAUAGAGUUGCUAGAAGAACCAGUAACAAAAACAAACUGAGUUCCAUAUACAUACACCAAAUCUAAGAUACAAAACUACUCGCACUAGCGAGUUAAAUAUAUGUAUGUACAUGAACUCCAACCAAAAAUAACUACCUGCUGUAGGGGCACCUCUAGCUCGGCUCGUCGGGUAGGGCUCUAACUCGCGACGCCCUUGCCUCGAUCCUGAUCAGCAACAGCAGCAGCCGAAGACGAUGGCUCUGCAAAAAUAGGGUAAUAACAGGGCGUGAGAACUACUAUAAAAAUAAGUAGUCCUCAGUGGGUGCCACCUGCAACAUCAUCGGUCCACCCACUAAGUCUACAGAAGGGAGCAAAGGUAGUAAUAAAUGCUGGAAUAAAAUCUACAGCUACCAUUUAUUACACUAUCAUGCUCUAAGCUGACCUACUGUAAUAAUGUGAAUCCUGACCCAAUCUCUUUAGGAACUGUAAACAUACACGUCCCAGGGACUGUGAACACACCCAUCCCGCCCAGUUGAGACUAUUCAGCUAUCUCCACACUAUCCAGUCUGUGGAGAGCAAGUCUAACCGACAUGAACGACACGAACGCGAAAGCACAACGCCCGUCUCCGGAGUGGCACUCGUGGGAGCUACCCAACCUAGUAUGCAGCGUAUCUCUGUCGAGCUCAAUCAAGCUCUCUCAAGCCAAAGUCCAAGUAACCGACUUUACUGGUCUAACAACCAACAGAUCUCGUGCCCUCGGCACAAUUCGACGCCAAAAAGGCGAUAUGGGUCCACCGUCAACCCCGACGGCAUCCAACAGUCCGGAAUAAUCUGAAUGCUACUGUAAAAAUACACUCGGCAUCCCAGCAUGAGCGUGACUGAAAGCUAAACUACCUGGGGUAUCCAUCGCAUUGACACUGCGACGACACAAAAUUACAACGGCUCCUAGAGCUAAUUUAGGUAGUGUAAAUAAGUGACAGAUCCAAAUCGCCGGUUUUCUCCUAAGUCAAAUUCCAAGUCCAACAUGUAGUUUUAUGGUUUACUAAUCAUAUCCUCAAUGCUGAUUUCAUCCAUGAUACAAUCAAUGAAAUUGAACUACAACAUGAUUUACAAAAACUGGAAAUCAUACAUGUCGACUAAUACGGUGCUUAGGAAUAAACCGAUGUAACCCAUCUCAAAGGCUAAUCCCCGGCAGCGAAGAGGGUCACCGGAGUCCCUGCCAAGCUCGGCUGCAACUCACCGAACCAGCAACAAUAACGCCCAAGGAUCUAAACAUAGAAACCCACAAUAAACACCGAUUCUGCUCAAAACAACAGUAGCAGAGAGGAACAGGGUUUCAACCAAACUAACCUUCACCCAAAUCGGCAAUCUUGGGCUUCGUGGAUUCCUCUCGAAGUCUUGAAUCCAACGAACUAAGUCUUGCCGCAAUAUGACACUCCUACGUUGCGUACGAGUCAAAACGCCGAUGGUCGACGCUGGAAAUCUGCAAAACAGCAUCCUUGAGCUCGGAAGUAAUAAAGACUUGCAACGGUUGAAGGAAUUGAUGAACAUCUCACCUCAACAAUGACUCUAGCACCGGUGCGACGUCGAGAACAGCGAAUACGCACCCUCCCCCGGCCUCCUCGCGAUGCUACGGCAACAAACGCGCUCUCGAACAGCUCCGCGGCACGAUGUCGGCGACGAAAUACUCCACCCGAGCUCCUCCACGAUCGGACCAAGCUAAAGAGAGAGAGAAGAAGAAGAAGCAGGAAGAAUACUCCCUCUCAAGCUCUCUACACCUGUAAAUAGUAAGGAAGCAUAUGGGUGACACGAACGAGGUGAGAAAAAACUUAAUUGCCCUCUCACCUACCCUCGUGUACCGGUACACGGGCUCGCGUAUCGGUACAAGAAGCCAACCCGAGAGCAGUCUGCGCGCAGCCUGUGCAGUGUAUCGGUACACCCUGCUGGCUGUACCGGUACAGCAAGCAGAGAAACCUGCUAUUUGCAGAUUCUCUUGCUAAAUGCUGCUUUCGCGUCGCAUAGAGUCCGUUUUGCGUCUAUUUCACGCCAACGCGACUCAGACUUGCCCUGAUACUCUCCAGAGCUGUCGACAAGCCUUAACAGCAGAACACCAGGGAUCUUACAUGUUUGGUUUGGGGAUAAGUAAAAAGUAGCUAUUCCAGGGAUAUGUAUAAAUUGAGGUAUAAGCGGGGAUUAGAUCAAUUUUGCAUUUGAAUAAAAAUUGGGUUAUUCUUGGAAAUAAGAAAAAAUAGCGUUUGGUUAGAUAAGAUGGAAUAAGAAGAAUAGUAGGUNAUUCAUUAAAGUAAGUCAUUAGAUUAAAUUCCUUUUAUUCUGAAUAAAUAAUUUCAAUCAAUCAAAUUUAAGAUUUUAUUAAGUUUAUCAGAAUUUUUCAAAUUUGAUGCUUAUAAUUGACAAUUGAUGAUAUUUCUUUCCAAAUAAAACUCACAUAGUCAACUACAAAUAGAAUAUAGAGCCAUUAAUAUAUAACCAAAUUUUUUUUUUAAUUAACAAAAUAAAUAAUAUUUAAAAAUUGAAGGAAUUCAAUUGAAAUAAGUAAAUUGAAAGGUUCAAUUUCAAAAUGGCCAACAGUUGAAAAACUUAUAUAUAUGUAUAUACAUUUUUAUUAUUUGGUGUGAGUGUUAAAAAUUUAAAAGCGUUGCGUUAGACAAGGGGAUUAGAAUAUGUUGAAAAACAGAGAUUAAAGGUUCUAUACUCCUUAGGAAUCAUAAAGAUUUCUAAUUAAUUAUGCCUAUUCACAUUUAGACAACCUCCGAUUAAGCUGGUCAAUUAUGAUAAUUAGCAAAACAGAAUGUAUUUCUUUUUUUAUUCUUGUACAUCGGUUGUCACACCCCGGAUUCCUCGUUUCUCCGGGCACGCUAACAGACUCGCCGUACAUAUAGGAAUUUUUUCUGUAUGCGAAGCGAAGCUGUACAUGUACCUGUAAUCAUACAACACUACAACCAGUAGUAUAGAACUGCUAGAAAGGAAUGAAACAUAUAUAAUAACAGUGGUUCAAUACAUACAUAGCAUCUGGGUACAAAAAUACUCGCUCCAGCGAGGUACAACAUCAGUAUGUAGAGAACCAAAAACUACAACUACCUAUAGCUGGUACUCGCAAUGCAUUUGCCAUGAUCAGUAUCAGUAGUAGCAGCAGCCGCAACCGAAGGCUCUGCAAAAUAUCCACAACUGGGCGUGAAAACUACUGUAAAAAGAAGUAGUCCUCAGUGGGUACAGCUACCGACCUCAACGGCUUAUCCACUAAGUCUACAAAAGGUAUAUUCAAAGAUAGUAAAGGAAGCUGGAACAAAUCUACAGCUAUAUGCCACUAUACUAUCAUGAUCCGACACUACUAUCUGUAAAAUAACGCGAUCUCUGACCCCAAUCUCACUAGGGACUGUGAACACACCCGUCUCAGGGACUGUGAAUACACCCGUCCCGCCUGUCAAAACUAUACAGCUACCUCCACACUAAACAGUCCCUGGAGAGUAAGUCCAACUAGGACACAUCGACACCAACGCAACAGCACUAAGUCCGACUUCGGAGUGGCACUCGUAGGCGCUACCCAACCGAGUAUGUAAGCGUAUCUCUGUCGAGCUCAAUCAGGCUCUCACAAGCAAUAGUUAAGUAAACAUGGUCUAACAACCAAACUCACAUGCCCUCGAUAUAAUCUGAUGCAAAAACAGCAAUCUGGGUUCACCAUCAACCUCAACGGCACCCGACAGUCCGGAACAGCCUAAUUCUGCUGUAAAAAUAAGCUCGACAUCCCGGCACGAGCGUAAAUACAUUCUAUACUAUCCUGGAUAUCUACCGCCUACAAACUGCGGUGAUACAAACAAAUUACGGCUCUUAGAGCUAAAUCUGAUAGUUUUAACAUAUGACCGUGUAGAAUCAGCAGUUUUUUCCUAAGUCAAAUCAAAGUCCAACAUAUAUUAUUUAACUAAUAGUAUAAGCCCCAAUUUAGAUUUAGAACCUCCGUAAAUCAGUAAAUCGAGCAAUUAAACAUGCUGUAUAAAAACAGCGAAUACAUGUCGACAACUACUAAACUUAGGAAGAAAUCCGUGUAACUCGGUAAGCAUCACAUUAAACCCACCUCUAACGCAAAAUUCACGGCAGCGAGAAGUUCACGAAGUUGCCGACAACCCUGCUGUAACCAGCCGAAAACACCGAGGACUAGCAACCAAGCAACUUCGAGGAUCUAAACACCAAAAAUACAAAAAAAUGCAUUAUAACCCUCAAAUUUCAGCACCUAAGCUAAAACCUCCACUUCCAAUGUGAAAAUUCACCUAACAAUCUUCAAAUUGGGUGAAAAAGGUCCCAAUUCCAGUAGACUAUGUUGGAGUAUCACCCUCUGGUUCAAAAUCUCACUUCCUCCAAAGAUUGCAUCAUGAAAACCCAAAAACAACACAAAUCAGCUCAAAGCCACCAGCAGCAGAGAAAAACCUAAAAUUGACUAAGCUAAUCUCAAUCAAAUUCUGUCAAAAUGGGCUCCACGAAUUUCUCUUGAAGUUCAAAAUCUACCAAACCAAGUUUCGUGGCAAACAGAGCUUUCUACGUCGAACACGAGUCAAAACGCCGAAAGUCGCUACUGGAAUUCUGCUGAAACUGCAGUCUUCAAGGUAGAAAGUGUGCAAUUUGGAGAAAUUAGGAGUAAUUUGAGGGAUUGCAAUGCAAAUUGGCCUUCACUGUGAAGAGGAGAUGAAAAGAGUUCACUGGGGACGAACUCUAGCUAUUUAUAGGGAGGAGAAAUUGUCAGAUAAGCCUAAGGUACAAAUAACACAAACCUGCUGUCCCUGCAGAAACGGGCAGUUUCGGGCGCCCGAAACAAGGUUCUGGGCAUCCGAAACAUCCAGGCUACACACUUACUCCACUUUGGACCCACAUCUGGGUGCCCGAAAUAUAGGAUCCGAAUUGGCUUCCAGUUCUGCUCAGACCAGCACUCAAGUUCUGGGCGAUCCAAAUUCAGUUCUGGGCGCUUGAAUCUGGCAAAACUCCAGUUUUGCUUAUUUGAGUGCGCCGAGUCCAUUUCUGCAUCCAUUUCAUGCAGAAACGACUCCGACUCAGAUCGACACUCUCCAGAUGUGUCGACCAGUCACUAAUACUAUAGCCAAUUCUAUCCAAACCUCCGGAACACUACAUCGGUGUACAGAAAUUAAUACAACUGAAAAAGAGGAAAAGCGACAAUUAUCAUCUCUCUACUUCUCUCCUCGUCAAGGUAUUUCUCCAAACAAUGUGAACCAUGCAUCAUGCAUAAGCUUUUUUUGGUAUUUCAUCGAGCAUUUGACAUGCACACAAGUAAUAUGCAAAUUGUUUUCGACAUUUCAUCGAAUACUUGGCACGCGUACAUGAACAAUACAGCAUGCACAAAUUUUUUUGGCAUUUUGUCUAACACUUGGCAUGUGCACAUAAACUAUCCAUCAUGCACAACUUGUUUUUGACAAAUUAAAGCAAAUUAAAAACAACGACAAUCAAUAAUUUGAUUGGAGCUUUCCGUCGAUGGCUAAGCGUCAAGCGGAUGAUCGCUGUCGUCGUUGUCGUCGUCUAUCGCCGACGGCUAAGCGUCAAGCGGAUGAUCGUCGUCGUCGUUGUCGUCGUCUACCGCCGACGGCUAAGCGUCAAACGGAUGAUCGUCGUCGUCAUUGUCGUCGCCACCUUUACCGCCGAUGGCUAAGCGUCAAGCGGAUCGUCGUUGUCAUUAUCCGACGGCAAAGCGUCAAGCGGAUCAUCGUCGUCGUUGUCGUCAUCUACCGCCGACGGCUAAGCGUCAAGCGGAUCGUUGUCGUUGUCGUCGCUACCUUUACCGCUGACGGCAAAGCGUCAAGUGGAUCAUCGUCGUCGUUAUCGUCAUCUACCGCCGACGGCUAAGUGUCAAGCGGAUGAUCGUCGUCGUCGUUGUCAUCGUCUACCGCCGGCGGCUAAGCGUCAAACAGAUGAUUAUUGUCGUUGUCGUCGCCGUCUUUACUGCCACUUAUCGCCGUCGUUGUCGUCGCCCUUACCGUCGACGGCAAAGCGUCAAACGGAUCGUUGUCGUUGUCGUCGCCACCUUUACCGCCGACGGCAAAGCGUCAAGCGGAUGGUCGUCGUCGCCUUUCUCCACCGCUCAUCGCCGUCGUUGACGUCAACGCAACAGCAGCAGGAGGAUGGUCACCUCCUUGGUCGAUGAUGGCGCCACAACAGCAAAAAGGAACAGGCACCACUUCGGCAUUAAUGACGACGGGGCAACGACAGUUAGCUACGGAGUAAGAAUGCCAACGAGCGGUCUUAUUUUAUUGGUUGGCGACGACCCGGCGUAGUAGAGGUUGAUGACGGCAUGUGUAGCCCGGUGUGCAUAGAAAGCUCGAUGUAUAAAGUGCCUUGACUAGGAGAGAGAGAAAGAGAAAAUAAAAGUGAGAGAAUCUAAACCCACCUUUCUAUUUGGCUCUUUUUUUUAUCCAAGUUUUCUUUUCUCUCUUUUUUUUUUUGUGAGUAGAAUCCCCUUCCAUAUUUUUUUGUUCACUUAUCUUUAUAUAGAUAGAGGGUGGUGAAGGUUUAUGGUGUAGAGAAGAGUAAAUAGUGGAGAAGUGGAGGAAAUGAUGGAAAAGUGGAAGGAGUGAUGGAGAAGUGGAGGGAAUAGAGGGAAAGUAGAGGGAAUAGUGGAGAAAGUGGAGGGAGUGAUGGAGAAGUGGAGGGAAUAGAGGGAAGUGGAGGGAGUGAUGGAGAAGUGGAGGGAGUGGUGGAGAAGUGGAGGGAAUGGUGAGAAGUGGAGAAGGGAGUGAUGGAGAAGUGGAGGGAAUGAGGGAAGUGGAGAUGAUGGAGAAGUGGAGGGAUGGGAAAGUGACAUGGUGGAGAAGUGGAGGGAAUGGAGGGAAAGUGGAGGAAAUGGUGAAGAAAGUGGGUGGAGUGAUGGAGAAGUGGAGUAAAUGAUGGAGAAAGUGGAGGGAGUGAUGGAGAAGUGAUCUUUUUUUUAUUUUUAUUUUUAUUUUUAUUUUUCUAACAUUUGGAUUUUAAGCUGACCCAAAUAUAAAAAAAAGGACUUAUAGUUUGUGAAUUUCAUUAUUAGAUUAAGAUUCUAAUUUUUUUUUUCAAAUUUCACCCAAUAAUAGAGUUAACAAUCUAACUUUUUGUUCGCGAGCCAGCUAAUGUUCAGCUCGUUAAUAAACAAACCAAGUGCAAGCUAGAUUUUUGAACUUGGUAUUUUAACAAAUUCGAUUCAUUUAAUAAACCAACGAACACGAACUAGUCCCAGCUCACUGGUGUUCAGCUUGUUUACAACCCUAGUCCUAAACAUACAGCGAUAUUGCUCAACGCAUCAAAAUUUUGCAUACGGAACUGUAGAGAAUUCAAACCCAUAGCUGAUAGUUUCGUGGAAAGGGGGUGGUCUCAAACAUUUUGUUUCUAUUUUCCACCUGUCUUUGCGAGAUAAGGAGGAAAUCUAUUAUGUAGUAGUCACACCACAUUAUCUAUAAUCAGUUAAUUCUAUCUUUUUUUAAAAAAAAUAAAAAUAUAAUAAAAAUAUUUUUUAAAAAAUUAUAAUAAAAUAGAUAAAUUUUAAAUAUAAUAUGAUUGAUUGAAAACAUCGUAAUUGCAAAAUGACUGUCAUAUGUUUAACUGUUUGGAAUACAAAGAGGACAAGGCACUUAUUAAAGAAAGGGUACCAGUGCAUGUGAAUGCCCACUACAUUGAGCCAGUGAAUUAGCUGCAGCUAUGAGUGAUGCUUUGGGGAUUAUGUGUGAGGAUGCUAAAGUAGAUAUUAAGCCUUUGAACUUUGUCCAAUUACGCGCCAGUGGUCUCUUUUUCAAAUUCAAAUAAUUGAACACUUUCUUUUAUUAAAAAAAAAAAAGCUAUAUUUGUAAAAAACUUCAAAUUUCAUUACUGUAGUUUCGUACUUUUUUUAUUUUAGUAAUCUGUGAUUUAAAAUAUAUCAAUUUAAUACCCUGUUUUUUAUUAUUUUUUUUAUUUUUUUUUUGAGAGAUAGGUAGCACGCUAUCCGCUUCGUUUAUUCCAUUUAGAAAUAAACUUAGCUGGAAAUGUGAAUCAACUAGGAUUCGAACUUGGGUCUCAGGUACCAACCAUCAAGCCCUUUGUCACUUGCUCUAGGGACGGCUGUGUUUUUAUUUUUCUCUUUUGUUUAUUCUCUCUAUUAAUUUUUUUUCGUUAAAUCAGUGAUAAAGUUAAAACUAAAAGAUACUAAAGUGAAUAUUUGAUAAACCUAGGUGGAGUAUUUGAAGUGUUUUGUAUAUAAUUUAACGAAAUUAAUAUUGACGGAGGAGCUGACGAAAAAAAAAAAGAAACUAUAGGAUACUAAAUUGAUACACUUUAAAACACAUGGUACUAAAGUGAAAAAGUGCGAAACCAUAUGAAUGGUAUUUGAAGUUUACCCAAAAAAAAUUAAAAUUAAGGCAGUUGUUAGGCUUCAUUUAAUGAAGUUUAAUAACAUUUUUAUAAAAUUAGUGAGUAAAUAUUAGUCCUUGAAUCACUUGAAUGUAAGAUCUAUAACCCUAUAAAUAGCAUUACUUUUUUUAUCUUCAAAUCUUAUUUUUUAUUGAUGAUAUACACGCCCUAUUCAUUCAAAUGCUAACAUAUAUUUCAGUAAAAACGUACAAAAAUUAUUUGAAUUAUGAACCAUUUUGAAUUAGUUAUCGAACCUUUCAAAAAUUUAAUUUUACUAACAAAUCUUCCAAUUUAUUUGAUUUUAAUAAGUCAAUAAAAUUUUGACUUCAAAAUUUGAAUACGGUGUAUAUCUUUAUAUAUUUAGUUAGUAUAUUUUUUACAUUUCUCACAAAUAUAAAUUGAUUAAAAUAAGUGAUUAAUUUAAAUUUUAAAGUCAAGCUGACUAAUUUAAAUCAAAUAAAUUAAGAGAUCAGAUAAUAAAAUCAAGAUUUUUAAAAUGUGGAUAGUCAAUUCAAAAUGAUUCUAAAAGGUGCUGUAUAUUUUUAUCUAUUCUUUCACAAGUCUAAUUAGGUUUGUUUCUUAAAAUAGAAAAAACAAAAAAAAAAGUGAACCAUUAAAUGAGUCCAAAUUUAUAAAGUGCGAAUGUAGUAUUUUUCAACAAAAAGAUUAGUAAAUAUUAAUUGCACUAAUUUUUUUGCUAAAUUACAAAAAAAUUUCUUGUAACUGGCAUUUUAUUUUUUUUCUUUUUUUUUCUAAUUUUAAAAAAUCUAUAUUUUGCUAUUUCAAAAUUUUAGAAAUAUUUUUAUAAAAUUAUGGUGCUAAUGAAGAGGACAAAAUGAUCAAAUUACUUUUAUAUUUAUUCUAGAGAAAAAAACAUUUCUAAUAUAUUUUUAUUAUUUUGAAAAAUAAUUAUAAUACAAAUUAUACGAAAUAGACGGAAUAGCGAUAAAAUACUGGUAGCAGGGGAGACUUAUGUGACUAACAAAAUGACCAAGUCAAUUCUUUUGCUUAUUCUAGAAAAAAAAAAAUCUUUUACCGUUCGGGUAUAAGUAAGCACUAGCUAUUACAGGGAUAGAUACAAGUAUGGGAUACGAAAAAUAGCGUUUGGAUAAAUAUUGUGUUGUUUUCGGGGAUAAAAAAAGUAGCGUUUGGAUAGAUAAUAUGGAAUAAGAAAAAUAUUAGAUAGUUUUAUAUAAAAAAUGGAGGUGUUGGUGGGAAUAGUUAUACCGGUUAUUAUAGAUAACUGAGAACUACUAUUCUCGGGUAAAAAAUUAGCGUUUGGGUAUAAAGGGGAUAAGGGCCUAUCCCUAUCCCUAAGUUAUAAUAUAUAUUUUUAUUAUUUUAUUAUAAAUUAUUGGAAAAACUUCAAAAAACCCUUCUGUGGUUUCGUAGUUUCUCACUUUGCCUUCCUGUGGUUUAAAAUGUAUCAAUUUACUCCCCUGUUGUUUCUUUUUUCUCUUUUUCUUACCAAUUUUAUUAUUUUUUUUCUUAAAUCAGUGCUAAAGUUAAAAUCAAAGGGUACUAAAGUGAAUAUUUGAUAAAUUUAGAUGGGUAUCUGAAGUUUUUUGUAUAUAAUUUAAUAAAAUAUUAACGAAAAAGCUAUCAAAAAGAUAAAAACGAAACUACAGAGAGGUAAAUUGAUACAUUUUAAACCACAUGGGGGCAAAGUGAGAAACUACAAAACCACACGGAAGGUUUUUGAAGUUUUUCCAUUAUUUUAUAUGAAAUACAAAAAGCAGUGACGAAAUGUGAGAGAAAUGAGCUAAGGUAUCGUUUGGUUCGAGGAUAAGCAAAAAGUGACAAUUCCAGGGAUAUGUAUAAAUUGAGGUAUAAGCGGGGAUUAAAUCAAUUUUGCGUUUGGGUGAAAAUUGGGUUAUUCUUAGGAAUAAAAAAAAUAGCGUUUGGUUAGGUAAGAUGAAAUAAUAAUUAAAGUGGGUAGUUAUAAAUAAAAAAUAAUAAUAUUACCCUCCCUCUUAUUAUAUUUGAAUUUAAAUUUUAAAUUUUUAAAUUUAAGAUUUUAACUUUGAAAUUUUAAAAUUUGAAAUUUAAAAUUUAAAAUUUAAAAUUUGAGAGUUUGAGAUCAAAUUUAAAUUUAAAAAAUAUAAAAUAUAAAAUUUUAAAUUUUAAAUUACCAUGCCAACUUUGCUUAGUGUUUGGCAAAAAUUUAUAAACUUACUAAUUGAGAACCUUUUGAAGCCUUAUCCUUAACUCAAGGAAUAUGGUGCCCACUAUUUUAUUUUAUUUAUUAAAUUUAUUAGAUGGGAAUGCUUUUUUUAUCCUCAUCUUUGAAAAUGGACUCAAUAAAGAAAUGUGGGCCCAUUUUUUUAUUUAUUAAAUAAGAAUGAUUUUUUUAUUUAUUAAAUGACAAUGGCUAAGUUUAAGUUAAAAUAAAUUUUAAUGUUUCUAGAAAAAGUAUAUUAAUUAGCCGAAAGCUUACAAAAUGUUUUAUUAUUGAUCGUCAACAUUUUCAUCACAAGAUACUUGUUUCUUUAUUGAUUUUUUUUUUACUUUUUCUUUUUAAAUUAUUAUCUUUCUCUUUUUUUACCUGUUAUUUAGUAAAAUUGUUAUAGUUUUGAUGAUGUGUUUCUGUCAGAAAAAUAACUUUCAUAUUUCUAAGACUUAGUUUGGUAUUUAUCUAAUGCUAUUAAAUAAAAUAGAAUUGAGAAAAAAAUAUAUAGAGAUAUGCACCGAUGAAAUAGUAGAAAAUAUAUCAUAACUAACUCAUCGCAAUAUGCGAAACGUAAUAUUAUGUACGAAAAUAAACAGAAUAUUUUUCUAUCGCUCUUUUUCACCGCACAUAACGCAAUCUUUCUACAACCCCAAACGAAACCUAAGUAGUAAAGAAAUUAAAUAACAGCCUCAUAAUUGAGUUAAACACAAAAAUUGUAAAACCAAACAAAACUGCUUCCUUCUAUUUUAAUUACUAAAAACUUGCCUAUUCUGUAUAGUUUAUAUUUUUUUUUUCCCUUUUUUGUUAAAUUUUCU
rnacentral:lncRNA from 1 species